GGCUGUAUUUUAUUGCAUUAUAAGAAACGGUAGAGAUAAUUUUUCGUCCCAGUUUCUCAGUACUUUAUCGAUCACAAACUUAUCAAGCAUGCAUGCACGAGCGAGGGAGCCCAUGCAAACACCUAACAUAUAGUACCGGAACUGGAACAUAGAAAAUAUACGUAUGGUGCGUACGUAUGAAAUGCAAACUAGUUACGAAUAAAAAAAUGCAUGUAUAAUAUUCAUCGAUGGUGUUGGAUGGAUCAGAUGGGGCAGGUGAAGUCGGAGGGGCACUUCUUGCCGCACUGGUUGAGGAGGAGGGUCAGGUCGAUGGGCACGUUGAGCUUGAUGCCGAGAAUGUUGGCCCUGAUGGCAGUGCAGAGGCACACGGCAGCGUCGAGGUCGGCGAGCCCGCCCAGAAGCGGGCAGCACUCCUCGUUCGCUGGCACGCCGAUCUUGAGCUUCAGCAGGUUCAGCACGUUGGCGCACACGCCCAGCUUCAGCAUGUUGAUCGAGCAGCUGCCCCCGCCGGUCGACGGCACGGGCGGUGGGAGGAUGGGCGGGGUAGGGACGACUGGUGGGCAGUAGGGUCCGCAGCCCUGGGCGGCCGCAAGGAGGACCAGGUUCAGGGCGAGGAAGAGGGCGAGCUUGGAGGGCGCCAUUGCUACUGAUCGAUCUUACUGGUCUGUGGCUAUGGCUAAGCUUGGCUUUGCUAGCUUGGGAUGGUUUGCUUGGGUCGUCUGAGGUCGUAUUUAUAGGCCGGUCGUAGCGUGCAAGUGCAGCAAGUGCAUGCAUGUCAUUAUCAGUCGAGCUAAUUAGUUUUGACUCUUGCCGUAGUAAUUUGCAAAAUUUACGUGCAACCAUUAUUGUACUGGCAUGUUACGUGUGUAACAUCCAUCAUUGGAGCUUAAUCUGUUCGCUAAUGAACAAAAACCUGAGAGCUGGGCCAUGAGGCUUUCCUUUAGUUUCCAAGAAGAGUACUCUUAUAUGCAUGUUGUCUGCUCUGGGCAUAUAUAUAUUUGAUGGUUUUACAAGUGUAGCCAUAAUAAUCUGGAGCAUAUAUAGCAUCAGACAAAGGAUUAUAUCUGGCAUGACAGUGCUACGAGCUGGCUUAACCAUGAUCAUCAGGGUCACGGGAGACACAUAUAGGAGUUGUAUGGUUUUGAUUCCAUGUGUCUAUUAUAUCUUUCGUACUCUGGUUUGUCAUACUGGCUCGUUGGCACGGAUGGACACGAUACAUUCAGCUUGCUGUAAUCUAUCUAUCUAUCUAUCUAUAUAUCUAUAUAUCUAUCUAUCUAUAUCUAUCUAUAUAUAUAUACCUAUACUAACUCUAGACUCUCAAGAAAUUCUUACGUUAAUUAGAAAUUAGGAGCCAUUAAUCUGAUGGGUCCAAAUUAUUACGAUCUAGAUCAAUCCUAGAAAUCGAUGAAUGAAUAUUUUUUUACUAGGCUCUGGAUUGAUCUAUAAAACGUUGCAUAUAAUGCUAAAGAUCCGUGUUGUACCAUUUUAAAAAAGGUAUGUGCUAUAUGGGCAACAAGUCCAAUAUAGUUUUUUAAAAAGGCAAGUCCAUUCUAGUCACGUAGCUAGGCAAAAUACAAUUUCCAAUUCCUGCCUUGCCGUAACUAGCUUGAUUGGAUAUGGUAAACAAAUAGAACUCCUAGUAUCUCGCCCUCUCCCGAGGAUUCUCUGCCGCUCCACGCCAGCAAGGCUGAUGUCUUCUGCUUCACGCUAUUUUUUCUUAUAAGAUCGCCGUUCGUAAAGAGAAAUGGUGGAUCAUCUAAAGAAAAAGCCCUAGCAAGUCUGCCGAGGCCUAGCGAGCUUGCCGGCUUUGUCGUCCUCAUGCCGCCAUCAUGCGUGUCAAUGGGCGCCAUCUAUUGUGGCUUCUAGUCCAAGUCAUCACAAAUCAAUCUAUUCAAAGGGCGAUGAGGGCGGGUGCGGGGGCCACAAGAGGGCGACCACGGGCGCGCCGACAUCAUCGUCCGGGGAUCGAAGGCGGGUCGGCAACCGGUUCUGGGCUUUGGCAGACUCCGAUGAGGAUGAUGUGGACGAGGAUGGGGAUGGGAGCCCGGCGGCCUCCCCGUCGCCGCCGACCCCAUGUGAUCUCAUCUGCGAGUUUUUCCAUUCCGGCUACGACGAAGAUGAAGUGGCAAGGACGGUCGACAAAGUCUUGCCCCCCGACGAUCCGGCCAGAUUUGGACUUCAUGCGGGAGAGAAGAAGGAGAUGAUACGUCGCACCGUUCAUCGGAGAACGGUGGCGACGACGAUCAGGCCAUGGAAGGGCCCCCUGCCUAAGGUAAGUCUCCCAAACUUAAUGCUUUUCGAUAUGAUUCGUCCGGAUUCGUGGAUUACUGUUACGAGAAGGAAGAAAGCACGCCGGGCAGUGCCUCGAUCGGCGUGGUGGUGACCGCGGCUGCCACGCCAGCGAACCUGGCGAUCCAGAUCCCAGCGGCUCGUCAGGCGCGUUUGAAUUCGCUCCUGGGCUGCAGUGGGCCGGUUAUGUCUGAAACUUCACUGAAAUUUGUUGGGCCGGGGACAGCUGGGUAUGAGGCCCAGGCUAGUCCGGUUUCAAUCGAUAUUGAAUGUGUCGUCGCAUGCAAUAGGUCGAUCGAUCUAUCGACUUCGCGUGAAAAAGCUUCAACCUGAUAAGCUCGAACCCAAAUCGGAGAAAUGUGUCUUCAUAGGAUACCCAAAGGAGACUGUUGGGUACACCUUCUAUCACAGAUCCGAAGGCAAGACAUUCGUUGCCAAGAAUGGAUCCUUUCUAGAAAAAGAGUUUCUCUCGAAAGAAGUGAGUGGGAGGAAAGUAGAACUUGAUGAGGUAACUGUACCUGCUCCCUUAUUGGAAAGUAGUUCAUCACAGAAACCGGUUCAUGUGACAUCUAUACCAAUUAGUGAGGAAGUUAAUGAUGAUGAUCAUGAAACUUCAGUUCAAGUUGUUACUGAACCCCGUAGGUCAACUAGAAUAAGACCCGCACCAGAGUGGAACGGUAAUCCUGUUCUGGAGGUCAUGUUACUAGACCAUGACGAACCUACAAACUAUGAAGAAGCGAUGGUAAGCCCAGAUUCCGCAAAAUGGCUUGAGGCCAUGAAAUCUGAGAUGGGAUCCAUGUAUGAGAACAAAGUGUGGACUUUGGUUGACCUGCCCGAUGAUCGGCAGGCCAUCGAAAAUAAAUGGUUUUUCAAGAAGAAGACUGACGCUGACGGUAACGUUACUGUCUAUAAAGCUCGGCUUGUUGCAAAAGGUUUUCGACAAGUUCAAGGAGUUGACUACGAUGAGACUUUCUCACCCGUAGCGAUGCUUAAGUCUGUCCGAAUCAUGUUAGCAAUUGCCGCAUUUUAUGAUUAUGAAAUUUAGCAAAUGGAUGUCAAAACUGCAUUCCUGAAUGGAUUUCUGGAAGAAGAGUUGUAUAUGAUGCAACCGAAAGGUUUUGUCGAUCCAAAGGGAGCUAACAAAGUGUGCAAGCUCCAGCGAUCCAUUUAUGGACUGGUGCAAGCCUCUCGGAGUUGGAAUAAACGUUUUGAUAAUGUGAUCAAAGCAUAUGGUUCUAUACAGACUUUUGGAGAAGCCUGUAUUUACAAGAAAGUGAGUGGGAGCUCUGUAGCAUUUCUGAUAUUAUAUGUGGACGACAUAUUGUUGAUCGGAAAUGAUAUAGAAUUUCCGCAUAGCAUAAAGUGAUAUUUGAAUAAGAGUUUUUCAAUGAAAGACCUCGGUGAAGCUGCUUAUAUAUUGGGCAUUAAGAUCUAUAGAGAUAGAUCAAGACGCUUAAUUGGACUUUCACAAAGCACAUACCUUGACAAAGUUUUGAAGAAGUUCAAAAUGGAUCAAGCAAAGAAAGGGUUCUUUCCUGUGUUACAAGGUGUGAAGUUGAGUAAGACUCAAUGCCCGACCACUGCAAAAGAUAGAGAUAAAAUGAAAGAUGUUCCCUAUGCUUCAGGCAUAGGCUAUAUCAUGUAUGAAAUGCUGUGUACCAGACCUGAUGUGUGCCUUGCUAUUAGUUUAGCAGGGAGGUAUCAAAGUAAUCCAGGAGUGGAUCACUGGACAGCGGUCAAGAACAUCCUGAAAUACUUGAGAAGGACUAAGGAUAUGUUUCUCGUUUAUGGAGGUGACAAAGAGCUCGUCGUAAAUGGUUACGUCGAUGCAAGCUUUGACACUGACCCGGACGAUUCUAAAUCGCAAACUGGAUACGUGUUUAUAUUGAAUGGUGGAGCUGUCAGUUGGUGUAGUUCUAAGCAAAGAGUCGUAGCGGGAUCUACAUGUGAAGCGGAGUACAUAGCUGCUUCGGAAGCAGCAAAUGAAGGAGUCUGGAUGAAGGAGUUCAUAUCCAAUCUAGAUGUCAUACCUAGUGCAUCGGGUCCAAUGAAAAUCUUUUGUGACAAUACUGGUGCAAUUGCUUUGGCAAAGGAAUCCAGAUUUCACAAGAGAACCAAGCACAUCAAGAGACGCUUCAACUUCAUCCGGGAUCAACUUCAUUCGGUAGAACAUCAUCAUCAUCAUCAUGCCGUCGUGCUGACAGAACUCUCCCUCAAAGCUCGACUGGAUAGGAGUUCGAGGGACGUCAUCGAGUUGAACGUAUGCUGAACUCGGAGGUGCCGUGCGUUCGGUACUUGAUCGGUCAGAUCGUGAAGACGUAUGAGUAUAUCAAUCGCCUUGUGCUAACGCUUCCGCUUCCGGUCUCGUUGCUAUGCAUCACCAUGAUCCUGUGUAUGCGUAGGAUUUUUUUUGAAAUUACUACGUUCCCCAGCAAUAACUACCAAAAAAUUCUAAUCUUGUGACAAAAAAUUACCACUUUUGGAAAAUGGUCAAUUUAGACAAUUUAAACACGUUUAUGACAUGCGGGACCCACCCGUCAGAGCUGAUGUGGAAGCAAAGUCAACUCUGUUUAUUUACCGUUACGUUGACUGUUAUUACAAGUGGGGCCCACCUGCCAGCAUCAAUCUUUUUCUUCUUCUUACUUCCCUCUCUCUUUGGCAUUUCCUUGAACACCUCCUGUGCACCCGGGCUUGAGCUCCGAACUCCUCCAUGGUGACGCCCCGACGCAGCACCUCCCUGGCGUUGGUUGGGGACUGGAACAACAGCACAACCACGAUGGCUGGGACUGUGGAAGCGGCCGCCGAAGCUGAUGGAAUUUCCUCCGAGGCCGUCGGCGCCACCACCCGCCGCAGCUCCUCGACGAUGGCCUCCUUGAGGAUCUUGUGCUCAAGCAACUCGGUGUGCAGGCGGGACUCACGCUCCUGCAGCUCCUCGAGGAAGCGCGCGAGCUUGGCAGCGUCCGGCGCCGUUGCCGCGCUCACCGACUACACCUGCAUGGAGUACGAGAGGUGGGUGACGUAGAGCCCCAAGAGCUCAUGUGGGAGCUCGGACCAAGGCAAAGCCUUCUCCAGCUCCUCGAAGAGGCGCACGAGUUCGGCGAUGUCCGACACCAUGUCCAUGCAGGCCGGCUGCACCUGCAUGGAGGAGCGGGGGGCAGGCAACGAAGAGCCCCAGGAGCUCAUGUGGGAGCUCAAACCAAGGCGAGUACUAGCUAGGUUGGUUCAUGCGUGUCGGUGGUGGUUGUCGCCGGCAGAGGUGACAUCGCCGGAGUGACGCGAGGGGGAGAGGUGGUCGUUGGAGUGGUUGGGAAGCUCGCGCUCCCCCGAUCCAGACAGGAUUGAGGCAUGGGGAGAGGUGAGUGCCGGUAGUGGAGGACGGCAGAGGUGGCUCGCGGGUGCACACAAGAUGUUUGAGGAAAUGGCGGAGAGAGAGAGAGAGAGAGAGAGAGAGAGAGAGAGAGGAGGAAGAGGAAGAAGAGUGAUGCUGAUCGGUGGGCCCACUUAUAAUAACGGUCAAAAUAAACGGAGUUGACUUUUGCCGCCACGCCGACCCUGAUGGGUGGGUCCCACAUGUCAUAAAUGUGUUUAAAUUGUCUAAACCGGUCAUUUUUCAAAAGUGGUAGUUUUUAUCAUAAAAUUAGAAUUUUUUGGUAGUUAUCAGUCACUUUUUUGAAUGUGGUAGUUCAGUAGGACGACAACCCCUAAUGUGGUAGUUUUUUUAUCAAAUACUCUAUGACAUGAGAAUUAACCAUUAGUAAGAUGCAUGUAUGUAUGGUUUUCAUGGAUCAUCUAGAACGAUGUGAAAGGUGGCAUUAGAGACCGUGCCAUAGAGAAUCGUCAAAAUAAAUUUUCUUUGAUAGAAAAAAGAAAGAAAAUGAAGCUAAUGCAUGUGAAAAUAUGUGGAUCUGAUCAUGAAUGAUGCAAUUAGGCGUGCAUGUAGAUAUACAUAUACAUCUCAAGUUGGGGCAUCACGGGUCGAGUUAAUACAACUUAAAUAGUAUAUUUGAUUAUUCGACAUGUCCUUUUAUAAAUAUGUGAAUCAUUUAGAUACAGCAACAAAGAUACAAUGAUGGAUGACCUGCACAAAAUCAGUGUAGGAUAGGAAACUAACUGAAGCACGCGUGGAGGCAUUGAUAACUAAUACACGAAUAAGAAACUCUGUGUACCGCGCAUGUACAUAUGGCAUGCAAAAAUUUAGUAACGGAUACUAUGCUUGCACGCAAGGUUUUUCAUGAAUCAGCUAGAACAUCAAGGUUGGCCGCAUGCAUCGAUUCAUGCAGAGGCUGGAGGUCAACCUCCUUUAAAAAAACUAGAACAUCAAGAUGUAAAAAGGUGGUAAUAAAGACAAGGAUAUCGAGAAUCUUUAAUGUAAACUUUUAGUUUUUAUCAAAGAUUUCGGUUGGUUGUGUAUACUUUACCUUUUCAAUGUGUCAUACUCUGAUUACGGAUCAUUUAGGCAAAAGGAACGAAGAUAGAGCUAAUGCAUGCGAAAAUAUGUGGAUCUCAUCAAGAUUGUUGCAACCAUGUGUGCCAGUACAUAUACAUAUACAAUUGAAGAUGACAUAUCAUGGGUCAAGUUAAUACAAGUUGAACAAACUUUUUAUUCCACCCAAGUAUACAAGUAUGUAUAUCUUUCUACAAAUAUGUGAGUCAUGCAUUUAGAUACCAUAAUUACUAGAUACAAUGAUCAAUCACAAGCUUAAUCUCACAACUAGCUGCCAUAUAUAUCACUGUCGAGUUAACACAACUUGAUAUUUUUUAAUUUCGUGCAUCUUUUUAUAGACAUGUGAAUCGUUUAGAUACCACAACAAGAUACAUGGAUGGGUGAAUUGUAGCAACCAACUUAAGCAUGCAUGCAUGCACAUAGGAGAUGUACAUGAAUUGAAAAUUAUGUGUACCAUACUUGUACAUAGCACGUGAAUUACUCAUGAGUACGAUGCCUGCAUGAAAGGUUCUUCAUGAAUCAGCUAACAAAUCAAGAUAAAAGGUGGCAUUAGAGACGAGACGACAACACAAAGUAUUUUCACACUAGUAGAAAACAGGGCUUGCGUUCGGCCCUGGCCAGCCCAUUAGUCCCGGUUCUUCAAGAACCGGGACCAAUGGAGGGUAUUAGACUCGGUUCGUAAGCCCAUGGGGCCGGCUGUGGCCUUGUGGGCAUUGGUCCCGGUUCGUGUAGAACCAUUUGUCCCGGUUCGAGCCACGAACCGGGACCAAUGGUCCUCGCUGCUGGCCCCAACCAUUGGUCUCGGUUGGUGGCAUGAACCGGGACAGAAGGGGUGGCUUUAGUCCCGGUUCAUGCCAUGAACCGGGAUAAAUAACUUGCCUAUAUAUACCCACCGCCGCGGCAGAGCACUCCACAGUGCUCUGUUUUUUCAAUCCGGCGAGGAGAGGGCAUUUGGGUGCUCUAGUUCACCUCCUAUGCACAUGAGGUGUUCGAUGAAAUGCCCGAGCCACACUAGUUAAGCUUUCUCCUCUCGAAGCUCGACCUAGGAGCUCCAUUUUUUUCGAGAUUUGUCUAGAUUUAGGGGUCCGUCACGCCCCGUCCCCGUUUUCAUCGCUGUUGAUCGCCCGCGCCGAUCUCGUCGCCGGCACCACCGUGGUGAGCCUCUUGUUCUUAUCUUCUUUAUGAUACUUGUCUGAUUUUCUUAAUUUAGAUAUAUAUUUGUCUGAUUUUCUUAAUUUUGACACACAUAAUUAUAUGUAAUACACGCAGAUGAACCGGCAAUGGAUGUAUGGUGACAGACACACCUCUGAGUACAUUAAGGGCGUGCAUAUUUUUCUCGAAGUGGCUGAGGCAAACAAGCAGAAUGGUUUUAUGUGUUGUCCAUGCAGUAAAUGUGGGAAUACAAAGUCUUACUCUGACCGGAAAAUCCUUCACACCCACCUGCCUUACAAGGGUUUCAUGCCACACUAUAAUGUUUGGACGAGGCACGGAGUAAUAUGGGUUAUGAUGGAAGACAUCGAAGAAGAAGAGGACGAUGACAACUAUGUGCCCCCUGAAUACGGUGAUGCUGCAACGGGGGGAGCUGCUGAAGAUCAAGAGGAACCAGAUGAUGUGCCCGAUGAUGCUGCAACGGGGGAAGCUGCUGAAGAUCAAGAGAAACCAGACGAUGUGCCCGAUAAUGAUCUCCGCCUGGUCAUUGUCGAUGCAAGGACGCAAUGCGAAAGUCAAAAGGAGAAUCUGAAGUUCGAUCGCAAGUUAGAGGAUCACAAAAAAAAGUUGUACCCCAAAUAUGAAGAUGACAACACAAAGCUGGGUACCGUACUGGAAUUGCUGCAGUGGAAGGCAGAGAAUGCUGUGCCUCACAAAGGAUUUGAGAAGCUACUGAAAAUAUUGAAGAAGAAGCUUCCAAAGGAUAAUGAAUUGGCCGACAGUGCGUACGCAGCAAAGAAGGUCGUAUGCCCUCUAGGAUUGGAGGUGCAGAAGAUACAUGGAUGCCCUAAUGACUGCAUCCUCUACCGUGGUGCGUACGAGGAUUUGAAUGCAUGCCCGGUAUGCGGUGCAUUGCAGUAUAAGAUCAGACGAUAUGACCCUGGUGAUGUUGACGGCGAGCCCCGUAGGAAGAGAGUUCCUGCGAAGGUGAUGUGGUAUGCUCCUAUAAUACCACAGUUGAAACGACUGUUCAGAAACAAAGAGCAUGCCAAGUUGAUGCGAUGGCACAGUGAGGACCGUAAGAAAGACGGGAAGUUGAGAGCACCCGCUGACGGGUCGCAGUGGAGAAAAAUUGAGAGAGAGUACUGGGCUGAGUUUGCACAUGACCCAAGGAACGUAUGGUUUGGUUUAAGCGCGGAUGGCAUUAAUCCUUUUGGGGAGAAGAGCAACAAUCACAACACCUGGCACGUGACUCUAUGUAUGUAUAACCUUCCUCCUUGGAUGUGCAUGAAGUGGAAGUUCAUUAUGAUGCCAGUUCUCAUCCAAGGCCCUAAGCAACCCGGCAACGACAUUGAUGUGUACCUAAGGCCAUUAGUUGAAGAACUUUUACAGCUAUGGAAUGGAAACGGUGUACGUGCGUGGGAUGAGCACAAACAGGAGGAAUUUAACCUACACGCGUUGCUGUUUGUAACCAUCAACGAUUGGCCCGCUCUCAGUAACCUUUCAGGACAUACAAACAAGGGAUACCACGCAUGCACAUGUUGUUUAGUUGACACCGAAAGUAUAUACCUGAGAAGCUGCAGGAAGAAUGUGUACCUGGGCCAUCGUCGAUUUCUUCCGACCAACCAUCAAUGUCGAAAGAAAGGCAAGCAUUUCAAAGGCGAGGCAGAUCACCGGAAGAAGCCCGCCAUGCGUACCGGUGAUCACGUACUUGCUAUGGUCAAUGAUUUACACGUAAUCUUUGGAAAGGGUCCCGACGGACUAGCUGUUCCGAGUGACGCUGUGGGACACACACCCAUGUGGAAGAAUAAAUCUAUAUUUUGGGACCUGCCCCACUGGAAAGACCUAGAGGUCUGCUCUUCGAUCGACGUGAUGCACGUAAUGAAGAACCUUUGCGUCAACCUACUAGGCUUCUUGGGCGUGUAUGGGAAGACAAAAGAUACAGCUGAGGCACGGGAGAACCUCCAACGUUUGCACGAAAAAGACGGCAUGCCUCCAAAGCAGUAUGAAGGUCCUGCCAGCUACGCUCUUACCAAAGAAGAGAAGGAAAUCUUCUUUGAAUGCCUGCUUAGUAUGAAGGUCCUGACUGGCUUCUCGUCAAAUAUAAAGGGAAUAAUAAAUAUGGCAGAGAAAAAGUUUCAGAACCUAAAGUCUCAUGACUGCCACGUGAUUAUGACGCAACUGCUUCCGGUUGCAUUGAGGGGACUUCUACCAGAAAACGUCCAAUUAGCCAUUGUGAAGCUAUGUGCAUUCCUCAAUGCAAUCUUUCAGAAGGUGAUCGAUCCAGAAAUCAUACCAAGGCUAAGGACUGAUGUGGUGCAAUGUCUUUUCAGUUUCGAGCUGGUGUUCCCACCAUCCUUCUUCAAUAUCAUGACGCACGUCCCAGUUCAUCUAGUUGACGAGAUUGUCAUUUUGGGCCCCGUAUUUCUACACAAUAUGUACCCCUUAGAGAGGUUCAUGGGAGUCCUAGAAAUAUGUCCAUAACCGCGCUAGGCCAGAAGGAAGCAUCUCCAUGGGCCAUCAAACAGAGGAUGUCAUUGGGUUUUGUGUUGACUUCAUUCCCGACCUUAAGAAGAUAGGUCUCCCUAAAUCACGGUAUGAGGGGAGACUGACUGGAAAAGGCACGCUUGGAGGGGAGACAAUAAUAUGCAGGGACGGAUAUUCUUGGUCUCAAGCACACUGCACAGUUUUACAGAACUCUACCUUGGUGACCCCUUAUGUCGAUGAACACAAGAACAGUCUGCGCUCCAAACACCUGGAGCAGUGCGACGACUGGAUUACAUGUGAACACAUCAGGACUUUCAGCAGUUGGUUGGAAACACAUCUCAGAGAUGAAAACACUGUUUGUGAUGAGCUGUACUUGUUGUCUAGGGGACCAUCUUCGACUGUUACGAUUUGGAAAGAAUACGAGAUAAAUGGGAAUACAUUUUACAUGAUCGCCCAAGAUCAAAAGAGCACCAACCAAAACAGCGGUGUCCGCUUUGAUGCAGCCAUCGAGAGGGAAAAGGACACAUAUUAUGGUUACAUAGUGGACAUAUGGGAACUUGACUACGGAGUAGAUUUUAAGGUCCCUUUGUUUAAGUGCAAAUGGGUCAAUCUGUCAGGAGGCAGGGUACAGGUAGACCCACAGUACGAAAUGACAACAGUGGAUCUGAACAAUCUUGGGUACACUCACGAACCGUUCGUCCUAGCCAAUGAUGUGGCACAGGUUAUCUAUGUGAAGGACAUGUCUACCAAACCGAGAAAAAGAAAAAAAAAUAAGGAAGCGAAUACAUCAUACGAUGAGCCAAAGCGCCACAUAGUUCUUUCAGGAAAAAGGGACAUCGUGGGAGUGGAGGGCAAGACAGACAUGUCUAAAGAUUAUGAAAAGUUUCAUGAAAUUCCUCCCUUCAAAGUCAAGGCUGACCCAAGCAUCCUGAUAAACGAUGAAGAUUAUCCAUGGUUACGGCGCAAUAAGGAAAGGACACAAGCGAAGAAAAAGUGAAGACUUUCUCCACAACUAUGAUGAUGAUACCAUGCCAACUUUCAACCUUUUUGUAGUUCAUUUGAAAUGCAUGUUGUAACAGACAAGUUUUCGUAUGAAAUCCUGAUACUUCGAAAGAGAUUGUCCGUUUUGUACACGAAGUGCAUCCAGUUUUUACCGUAACCCUCUCAACUUUCUUGCAUAUGCUAUGUGGAUGAAAUGAUGAUACCAUGCCAAAAUAAAAGAGAGGCGCAAUGCUCACCUGCACGUUGCUUAGCUUCAGGCCAACAUGCAGGUGAGCACUGCGCUUCUCCCUUAAUCGUCUCUACACUCAGGGCUUAUAAACCGCUGCGAGUGCCUCUCGCUUGGCGAGGUGGGACUAAAAAACAGCUGCAGAAAGAAUCAACUAAAAAACUUUUUUACCGGUUCUUGCCACGAACCGGUACUAAAAGGUGCUCGUGGGGCCCCAGCCUUAAAACCUGUACCAAAUAAAAUACCUUUGUAACAGCCUUAGAACUGGUACUAAAGGAAUCAACUAAUAAGCUUUUAUAAACCCCUAGUAUUAUUGAAACUAAAAUUAUAUAGAAUUUUGUUACAAACUCUAAUAGCAAAAAGAAUUAUCAUAAAAAUAAAUAAAUAAGUAAUUAGAAUUUUGUUCAAAACAUUAAAAGCAAAAAGAAUUAUCAUAAAAGAAAAUAAAUAAGUAAUUAGAAUUUUGUUACAAACUUUAAUAGCAAAAAGAGUUAUCGUAAAAGAAAAUAAGUAAGUAAUUAGAAACAAAAAAGAAAGCAAAAAAACUGAGAAAAAAUUAAAAAAAAGUGCCACCUACAGGGCCAUCACGGCCUGCAUAUGACUAGAAACCCAUUACUAGGGCCAGGAUGCAGGCCCGCAGUAGGCCCAAUAGGCCUACAAACACCGAGAGUGAUUUUAGGCCCGUAAGCCUACAGUAGAGAGGAGCUCAAAGUGGUAGGUUUGACAAGACUUAUAAACCACUCUGAGCCCCUCUCGGCUAGCGAGGUGGGACUAAACAUAGCACCGCACCGUGCCAGCACCCGACCUUUGGUCCCGGUUGGUGCCACCAACUAGGACUAAAGGGGUGCAUUGGUACCGGUUGGUGGCACCAACCGGGACCAAUGCCUCUCUUUUGUCCCGGUUUGUGGCACCAACCGGGACCAAAGGUAUCUGUUUCCCGCCCUUUGGGCUGCUGAAAAGAGGCAUUUGGUCCCGGUUGGUGCCACCAACCGGGAUUAAAGGGGUGCAUUGGUCCCGGUUGGUGCCAUGAACCGGGACCAAUGCUCUGCCUAUAUAAGCAGCACUCACGAAAAUUUGGUUCAGUUCGUUCUUCCCCGCCGUCCGACGCCGCCAGGUUGCCCGUCCGUCUCCGCCUCGCCAUCGCCGUCGNNNNNNNNNNNNNNNNNNNNNNNNNNNNNNNNNNNNNNNNNNNNNNNNNNNNNNNNNNNNNNNNNNNNNNNNNNNNNNNNNNNNNNNNNNNNNNNNNNNNNNNNNNNNNNNNNNNNNNNNNNNNNNNNNNNNNNNNNNNNNNNNNNNNNNNNNNNNNNNNNNNNNNNNNNNNNNNNNNNNNNNNNNNNNNNNNNNNNNNNNNNNNNNNNNNNNNNNNNNNNNNNNNNNNNNNNNNNNNNNNNNNNNNNNNNNNNNNNNNNNNNNNNNNNNNNNNNNNNNNNNNNNNNNNNNNNNNNNNNNNNNNNNNNNNNNNNNNNNNNNNNNNNNNNNNNNNNNNNNNNNNNNNNNNNNNNNNNNNNNNNNNNNNNNNNNNNNNNNNNNNNNNNNNNNNNNNNNNNNNNNNNNNNNNNNNNNNNNNNNNNNNNNNNNNNNNNNNNNNNNNNNNNNNNNNNNNNNNNNNNNNNNNNNNNNNNNNNNNNNNNNNNNNNNNNNNNNNNNNNNNNNNNNNNNNNNNNNNNNNNNNNNNNNNNNNNNNNNNNNNNNNNNNNNNNNNNNNNNNNNNNNNNNNNNNNNNNNNNNNNNNNNNNNNNNNNNNNNNNNNNNNNNNNNNNNNNNNNNNNNNNNNNNNNNNNNNNNNNNNNNNNNNNNNNNNNNNNNNNNNNNNNNNNNNNNNNNNNNNNNNNNNNNNNNNNNNNNNNNNNNNNNNNNNNNNNNNNNNNNNNNNNNNNNNNNNNNNNNAUUUGUCAAUUUAUGUAUAUGUUCAUAUUGUCUAUGUAUAGCAAUAUUGUGCAUGAUCAAAGUCAUUUAUGAAUAUGUUCAUAUUUAGAAUAGAGGAAAAAGGAAAAAAUAAGAAGAGAAAGUGUUUAAUAUAAUUAGUUAGAAAAAUAAUAGAAUUAUAGUUAAACUAGUUUAUUUUUAGUAAGUACUACUUUAUUUUAUUUAUAGUAAGUGCUUCAUAUAUAGUUGAACUAGCUAGUUGAUUUAAUAAACUACUUUAUUUUACUAUAUAUAGAAGUAGUUUGUUUUUAAUAAGUACUACUUUAUUUAUUUAUAUUAAGUGCUUAGUAGUUGAACUAGUUGAUUUAAUUAAUAAAACUACUUUAUUUAACUAUAUAUAGAAGUAGUUCCCGCAUCGACGUCGACGAUGCCUAUCCCGCAUCCUCGUCGUCGUCGACUCGGCGGUGGAGGCCUGUUUGAUCAGGGCCAUGUUCGGGACUGGGCUCCGCCGGGCUGGUAUUGGGAGGUGCUACCUUCCGGGGGACGUAGGUUGGUGAGGAGGCAGCCCGUUGUUGACCCGAUCCUUGUUUCGUGGCAGUUGCGUGGGCGAGUGACGGUGCCGAGGCUUCCGGAUACCGCGGAGGUGGUACGUCACCGUGGCAGCGAGGAGGACGAGUACGUCCGUCGCUACAUGGUUGCAUUGGAGGGCAGGUUCGACAAUACCUGGCAGGUUCUUCAGGUAUCUCACUGGAGCUAUGAUCCUAUGAUGGUUCCUUAUCUUUGGGUGUCCACCGCCCGCGACGAUACCCGUCGAGCGCUACGGUUCUAGCUGUAUUAGCGAUGCUAUAUGUAUGAUAGUAUUCGAGGAGUAUUAGUGAUAAUAUCCGAUGAUGUACGGACACAAGAGAUGAUGUAGUUUUGGUUAUAAUUGAAUGCAUGCUAAUUUGAAUACUACUUUAUUUUACGAUUUGGUUUUGCUUAUUGAAUGCUCAUAUUGGAAAAGUACUCCUACUUUGAAUGCUAAAAUUGAAGAGCACUCUAUGCAGAAAUGUAGGAGCCCCCUCCAUCAUCCAUGCCGUCGUGGGGGUAGCUUCUCCUUCAUUCCCGUGUGCUAGACAAUUUGGUGUAAUAAUGCACUCGGAAAUGGAAGGAGGAGCUACGUACCAUCACCGAUAGUCAACCCGUGAUUAAUAAUAAUGAUCUAAUUUAAGUUUUUUAGUACAUAUAUUUAAUUGUAUAAGUUUAAUAUUUGAAUUAUGAACAUAGGACGGAAAUGUCGUACUCGGACGACGAAAACCGCCCGGGGGAGUGCGACUGGUGCUACGACGACCGAGGUAUGUGCGACAGGUUCAUUGAGCUGGACGAAGAUCGGCGCUUCAGCAUUAAGCUCGAGGAGACCUUCGAUGUUCAUAUGGUAUGCAACAAUGACAAUAGUUUUUUUCGUAAUUAAGCACGACUUCAACUAUUUUAAUAUGUAUUUUUCAUCUUUUCCAAUUCGACUAGCUUAUCCUAUGCUAUGCAAGACUCUAUGUCUUGGAGAUGAUGGGUUUUGAAGACCAUGAAAUUAUGGAAACCAAAAAAAUUCUCCUAAGGACCCAUCAUAGUGUGGAUUUUAAAGUAAAUUUGUACAAUGCUGAGAGUGUAACACAUUUUGGUUGCAAAAAUUGGAAAGCAGUUUGCAAGAUGUAUGGUUUUGAUGAGGGUAUGCUUGUCACCAUGGAUCAUGAUGAUCCUACAAUCGAGCAAGACAAUAUGGACAUUUAGGUCCUUGUGGAUACACCUCCAAUUCUUCCCCCAUGUGAGCUUAACAUAGUUAUUAAGUAAUUUAUAUUGUUUAUUUCAAAAUAGUUGACAGCUUAUUUUCAUUGACAGCUUAUUUUCAUUCUUCAAAGAAUGUGCGGAAGAUGGUAGACCAAACCCACUACACCGAUGACUCCGAAUUACCUUAUAAGGAGAAAAAUCAUCGGAUCGCAUUUUGUACUGGUAUUGAGAAUUACAAUGUCUACAAUCGAACUCUUCAACAUUAUGGUUAAUACGUGCCACUAGUGCACGUGUUGAACUACGGUAACUACCAUGGAGAUACCCUGGUAAGAUUUUUUACUAUUAUGACAUCCGUGCAUUUUUUUGCAUACUUCUAAAACUAGUACAUCAUUGCUAACUACGAAGUUAGUACUAUAUUUUUCAACAGAUAAUCCCGAAUGAUUGUGUGCCUCAUUUAAUGUAUACACACGGUCGCCUUGAUGUUUUGAACAUACAACCAGGUCGUCCUACGAAUCUCAACUGUCCAUACCGGGUUUCUAAAAGAAGUGGAGACAUGACAAUCAAAGAAUGGAAAAAAUGUAUGGACAGUCGCAAGGAGCUUCUUGGAAGAAAAAGGAAGCGAAGCGCAAGAAUUGGAGACAGGAUGAUCUCCAUUCUUCAUAAUGGAGAGUCAGGGUCUAUAUUAUUUUAUGCUAUUUUAUCUUAAUUAAGUGUGUUUAGGUCUACCUGAUACUGAUGAUGUGCUAAGAACAAUUAUGUAGGGUUGGGUUCGAUGACUAUGAGUAUGAUGAUUGUAUGACUUAUUAUUAAUAACGAGUAGAAGUUGUAUAAUGAUGCAUGAUUAGUAGGACUUGUUAUUAUAUAUGAUGAUGUAUGAUGCGAGCAUGAAAAGUUAUUUUAUAUCAGCGGGUGAAAUGAACAUAGCAGUAGCGUUGGUAAACCAAGUACGAAGAUAAGAGAGGACACUUUUCUCUAUUAGCUAGCUAAUAACAACCUAAAUUAACCCCCAAAACCCCUAAACCAGCCAUUUAAAAAAAACCCUCAGCUACAGCCAGCUUCUGACGCGUGGAUGCCUUUUGGUCCCGGUUUAUGUCACCAACCGGGACCAAAGGCCCCCCUGCCUGGGCUGCCCGCAGCGGCCACGUGAAUGCCCAUCUGUCCCGGUUCGUGUAAGAACCGGGACUAAAGGGGGGAGGCAUUAGUAACGACCUAUUAGUCUCGGUUCAAGAACCGGGACUAAAGGCCCUUACGAAUCGGGACAAAUGCCCUGUUUUCUACUAAUGUCAAUGUAACUUCUACUUUUAUCAAAGAUUUCGGUUGUCCCUGUUUUUUCAUCUUAUAUAAUCUGAUUACAGAUAAUUUUAGGCAAAAAAUAAAGAAAGAAGAUUUAGCUAAUGCAUUCGAAAAGAUAUGGAUAUUAUCAUGAUUGAUGCAACCAUGCGUGCAUGUACGAUAAAUAUGCAUUUCAAGCUUGGCAUAUCACGGGUCAAGUUAACCCUUUUCUUUUGCGGGUGAAGUUAACACAAUUUGGACAAACCUUUUAUUCCUCAUACACAUACAAUCCUUUUACGAAUACAUGAAUCAUGCAUUUAGAUACCAUAACGAGAUACACUGAUCAUGUGAUCAAUCACAAACUUAUCAAGCAUGCGUGCACGAGCGAGGGAGCCCAUGCAAACACCUAACAUAUAGUACCGGAACUGGAACAUAAAAAAUAUACGUAUGGUGCGUACGUAUGAAAUGCAAACUAGUUAUGAAUAAAAAAAAUGCAUGUAUAAUAUUCAUCGAUGGUGUUGGAUGGAUCAGAUGGGGCAGGUGAAGUCGGAGGGGCACUUCUUGCCGCACUGGUUGAGGAGGAGGGUCAGGUCAAUGGGCACGUUGAGCUUGAUGCCGAGAAUGUUGGCCCUGAUGGCGGUGCAGAGGCACACGGCGGCGUCGAGGUCGGCGAGCCCGCCCAGAAGCGGGCAGCACUCCUCGUUCGCUGGCACGCCGAUCUUGAGCUUCAGCAGGUUCAGCACGUUGGCGCACACGCCCAGUUUCAGCGUGUUGAUCGAGCAGCUGCCCCAGCCGGUCGACGGCACGGGCGGUGGGAGGAUGGGCGGGGUAGGGACGACUGGUGGGCAGUAGGGUCCGCAGCCCUGGGCGGCCGCAAGGAGGACCAGGUUCAGGGCGAGGAAGAGGGCGAGCUUGGAGGACGCCAUUGCUACUGAUCGAUCUUACUGGUCUGUGGCUAUGGCUAAGCUUGGCUUUCCUAGCUUGGGAUGGUUUGCUUGGGCCGUCUGAGGUCGUAUUUAUAGGCCGGUCGCAGCGUGCAAGUGCAUGCAUGUCAUUAUCAGUCGAGCUAAUUAGUUUUGACUCUUGCCGUAGUAAUUUGCAAAAUUUAUGUGCAACCAUUAUUGUACUGGCAUGUUAAGUGUGUUACAUCCAUCAUUGGAGCUUAAUCUGUUCGCUAAUGAACAAAAACCUGAGAGCUGGGCCAUGAGGCUUUCCUUUAGUUUCCGAGAAGAGUACUCUUAUAUGCAUGUUGUCUGCUCUGGGCAUAUAUAUAUUUGAUGGUUUUACAAGUGUAGCCAUAAUAAUCUGGAGCAUAUAUAGCAUCAGACAAAGGAAUAUAUCUGGCAUGACAGCGCUACGAGCUGGCUUAACCAUGAUCAUCAGGGUCACGGGAGACACAUAUAGGAGUUGUAUGGUUUUGAUUCCGUGUGUCUAUUAUAUCUUUCGUACUCUGGUUUGUCAUACUGGCUCGUUGGCACGGAUGGACACGAUACGUUCAGCUUGCUGUAAUCUAUCUAUCUAUCUAUCUAUCUAUCCAUCUAUCUAUCUAUCUAUAUAUCUAUCUAUCUAUAUCUAUCUAUCUAUAUACCUAUACUAAUUCUAGACUCUCAAGAAAUUCUCAUGUUAAAUAGAAAUUAGGAGCCAUUAAUCUGAUGGGUCCAAAUUAUUACGGUCUAGUUCAAUCCUAGAAAUCGAUGAAUGAAUAAUUUUUUUACUAGGCUCCGGAUUGAUCCAUAAAACGUUGCAUGUAAUGCUAAAGAUCUGUGUUGUACCAUUUAAAAAAAGGUAUGUGCUAUAUGGGCAACAAGUCCAAUAUAGUUUUUUAAAAAGGCAAGUCCAUUCUGGUCACGUAGCUAGGCAAAAUACAAUUUCCAAUUCCUGCCUUGCUGUAACUAGCUUGAUUGGAUAUGGUAUACAAAUAGAACUCCUAAUAUCUCGCCCUCUCCCGAGGAUUCUCUGCCGCUCCACGCCAGCAAGGCUGAUGUCUUCUGCUUCACGCUAUUUUUUCUCAUAAGACCGCCGUUCGUAAAGAGAAAUGGUGGAUCAUCUAAAGAAAAAGCCCUAGCAAGUCAGCCGAGGCCUAGCGAGCUUGCCGAGGGCUAGCGAGCUUGCCGGCUUUGUCGUCCUCAUGCCGCCAUCAUGCGUGUCAAUGGGCGCCAUCUACUGUGGCUUCUAGUCCAAGUCAUCACAAAUCAAUCUAUUCAAAGGGCGAUGAGGGCGGGGGCAGGGGCGACAAGAGCGGCGACCACGGGCGCGCCGACGUCAUCAGCUGGGGAUCGAAGGUGGGUCGGCAACCGGUUCUGGGCUUUGGCAGACUCCGAUGAGGAUGAUGUGGACGAGGAUGGGGAUGGGAGCCCGGCGGCCUCCCCGUCGCCGCCGACCCCAUCUGAUCUGUUCUGCGAGUUUUUCCAUUCCGGCUACGACGAAGAUGAAGUGGCAAGGACGGUCAACUAAGUCUUGCCCCCCGACGAUCCGGCCAGAUUUGGACUUCAUGCGGGAGAGAAGGAGAUGAUACGUCGCACCGUUCAUCGGAGAACGGCGACUACGACGAUCAGGCCAUGGAAGGGCCCCCUGCCUAAGGUAAGUCUCCCAAACUUAAUGCUUUUCAAUAGGAUUCGUCCGGAUUCGUGGAUUACUGUUACAAGAAGGAAGAAAGCGCGCCGGGCAGUGCCUCGAUCGGCGUGGUGGUGACCGCGGCUGCCACGCCGGCGAACCCGGCGAUCCAGAUCGCGGCGGCUCGUCGGGCGCGUUUGAAUUCGCUCCUGGGCUGCAGUGGGCCGGUUAUGUCUGAAACUUCACUGAAAUUUGUUGGGCCGGGGACAGCUGGGUAUGAGGCCCAGGCUAGUCCAGUUUCUAUCGAUAUUGAACGUGUCGUCGCAUGCAAUAGGUCGAUCGAUCUAUCGACUUCGCGUUCGUCCUCGCUGCGCGCUAGUGUUCAUCGGCGAGGGAAGCCUGGCUUCCGUUCAUGUGGUCUUGGCUGUGCUAAGAGAAUUCCUCCCCUCGGGGCCAUGACUGGCCGAGGGGCUGGUGUGCCGCCGGGGAAGAAGCCCGUUGUCUCGGCCGGGGCUGGCCGCUCCGGGGGUGCGCCGCCGCUGGCUUCUGGCAAUGGUCGUGGAGCAGCGCCGCCGCUGGCUUCUGGCACUGGUCGUGGAGCAGCGGUACUGCCCUAGACCUCCGGUGGUCAUCGGGACUGCGCAAACGGUUGCGGGGCGAGGAGGUGGUCACCCCGGGGCUCUGCCGCCGGCACAGGGCCCGGCGGCGGUGCCUGCUGUGGGUCAGGGUGGGACGGCUCAUGGUCCUUGGCCGCCGGCGCAAGGCCCGGCUGUGGUUGCCGCUGCGGGGCGGGGUGGUGCGCAUGGUCCGAGGCCGCCUCAGCCUGGGAACCAGGUCGUGACGCCCAGUCAUUAGCCUUGGGCGGCUCCGCCGCCUCACUAUGUCGCGAUGCCAUGACAGAAACGGCCUGGGCCGAUGCAGAGGCAUGCACCACCGCCUCAAAACGUGGGUGCUGGAGGUGCUUCUGGACCGCCUCGAGGACAAUGGGGUGACGAUGGUUUCAAUGCGUAUGGUGAUGGCCAACAUCGUGGUUCGUCAUCGAUGGGUGGUGGCCGCGGAUAUGCUUGGCAGAGUGAUGGUACAGCGGAGAGACCUUUUCUCGGUCCUCCGGGUGGUUUUGUUGAGGGGGCGUCUGGCCCUGACUAUCGGCAGCGGGGUGGAUAUAGUGGUCAUCAUGGUGGUCGUUCCGUCACCGGCAGCUUCCUCCACCUGUUGUCGUCGAGCAGACGGCCGCCGCCGGGGCUGCCGAGGCGCCAGAACUGUCCGGUCAGGCUAUGGAUGUGGUGACGGCGCUCGCCAAUGCUAAGAUACCUGGGACUGAGACCACAACGUCGGCCUCGGUGGAGGUGGCAGACAGGGCUGACUUGGACAGAUCGUCCAAGUGGGCGCGCAAGAAGGAGAAAAUGUUGUGCUAUCGUUGUGGAGAAAAGGGUCACUUUAUUGCUGAAUGCGUGGCCGAACUUUGUUAUACUUGUGGCAAGCCGGCACAUGAUACGGAGGAAUGCCCAAUUUUGUGUGAUCAGAUGUCGUCUCUUACUAUGUAUGGAGUGUACUGUGCUGAGCUGACGUUCUUUGAGUCUCCUAGUGCGAGGGAGGUACCAAAGAGACCCAGAGUAUGACCACUGGGGUGGUGAAAGUUACCAAAGGAGAUGUCUCUGAGACUCAGAUUGUGCAGAGGCAUAAGGAGUUAGCUCCAGGUGACUUCCAGUGGGAGCUUGUUAGUCUCGACGCCAACAUGUUUAAGGUUGAUUUCCCUUCGGUUGAGGAUUUGCAGAGACUUCUGAGUUUUGGGUUGUGCAGAGUACCUGGCACUGAAUGUAUCCUGGAGUUCCACGAGUGGAAGAAGGUCGUGCCUCAGGGCAAGCCUCUUACUCAGGUAUGGUUACGUUUUUUCGGGGCUCCCUCGAAGCCGAUGUAGGAUGCUAGGGUCGUGGCUAGCUUGGGCAUUAUGGUGGGGAAAACUGAGAGAGUGGAUAUGGCUUUUACCCGAGCUCACGGGGUAGCUCGACUGCAGGUGAGUGUUCUGGAUAUUGAGUCCAUGCCUGAUGUGGUCAAGUGGACAUAUAGGGGCCAGAUUUACAACCUCGAGAUUGAUUUUGAGGAUGUUGAUCUGUUCGCUGAGGAUAUCAAUGGGACUGAUGUAGACAUGCACGAGGGAGAUGACAGCUCGGGUGCUAAGGAGGCACCAGGCGAUGAUGCUGGACGAGAAUUGUCCAACGGAUCGGGGUCCGUUUCUCAGACACCUGGGGAUGGGACGGCACCACCCUCUUCGGUGCCAAUGACUUCUCUGAGAUUUGGGUCAUUUGAGCCUGCUUCGGCGCCUCCCAGACUCUGAAGUGACCGGAUGGAGUCCGACGAUGUGUUUGAGCGCAUGUUACCUACCCUGGAUUUUGAGGAUGCUGAUAGUCCCGUUCUCGGGGGCUUGACGACCUCGGUCAAGGGAGGGGGGAGGAGCUUGGGCAGGUGGCCACUCUUUCUCCUGCUCCACCCGUUGUCUCACCUCAGGACACGGUACCUGGUUUGGAGGUUGUACCUAGGGGAGGGGGUCCGGGCCACGUGGCCUCGGCGCCUUCCAUUACUAGGGAAAACCCUAUACACAGAAUCUUAGCAGCAACGCGGCUCAAAAAGGAGCGCUGCUGCUAAUUAGCAGUAGCGCGGGUGUGGAAAACCCGCUAUUGACAAGUGUUUAGCAGUAGCGCGCUCUGUGUAACACGCGCUGCUACAAAUAUCGACCGACAGUGCCCCCUCACCUCCAUUUAGUAGCAGCGCGGUAUCGCUAGCCGCGCUACUGCUAAAGUUGUAGUAGUAGCGUGGUUUUUCUGAGGCCGCUGCUACUAAUUUUCAAAUUGGACACACUUUUUGUCCCGGUUAGCAGUAGCGCUUCUGACGAAAGCGCGCUGCUGCUACUUCCUUAUCAGCAGCUUGUUUUUCGUCCCGCGCUACUGCUAAUCCGCACCAAGCCACCACCUUUUCCCCACCGCCCCCUCCUCCCUUCUCUCUUCCCUUUCCCCUACCUCCCACAUGCUCCCACUCUCACUCUUCUUCUUCCUCAAUACUUCUCCCCCAUUACUCUCUCUCUUCUAUCUACCUUUCUCUCUCUUCAUUACUCCUACCUAACUACACCACCUCCAUUAAUGCAUCUCCUUUCUCUUUUUCCUUCCCCUCCACUAGUUGAAGUUGUCUCCUCCCAAAUUAGGUAGCUAGGUAGAUGUAGGAUUUAGUUAAGUGACCUAUUUGCCCCCUAACUAGACCUAUGUUUGUCAAGAAGAGCUUUGUGCACUUUUGAUCUCCCUACAACAUCAUCUCCACCGUGUGCUCGAUCUCGAGAUAGGUGAUGAAAAUUUCAUGCUUUUGCAAAAUGGAAAUAUGUUUAUGUGUGUGUGAUAUGUUUGUGGAGAUUGUGUGUGUGGCAUGAGUUGACGCCAAAUUGUGCUUUUGAGUUGCCUAUGUUUUGCCGAAAUGUCGAUUUAUUUCUGUUUUGGCGAAUUCCGGGCAAACUCUAGAUCCAUAUAUGUCCUAUUUUUAGGGAAGGUCAUACCGAAUUUUUGUAUGACUUUGAUGCAUACACGCAUUUUUAUAAUCAAUUUUUUUAUUAUUACCGUGCAGAGUUGACGAUGAGCAGUGGAACGAUGGUGGACAGGUGGUUGCGGUCGGCGGUGCAGGACAUGAAACAAAAAACCGGACAGAGGUUUUAUGUCCGUGUCGAAAAUGCAAAGGAUUAGUUUGGCUCGACCCCUAUGACGAUGGUCGUGUCGAAGCGCACCUGCUCAUGACUGGUUUCAUGGAUGGCUAUACUCGGUGGAUAACUGAAGAUGAGGAUGACGAUGUUGAGGAUGCCGACGGGGCAGGCAAUGAUGACACGGGGCAAGAUGAAGAGAUGAUCGAUAAUGGCGGCGGGGAAGAGGCCGGACAUGGCGGCGGAGAAGGGGCCGGACAUGGCGGAGGAGAAGGGGCCGGACAUGGCGGCGGAGAGAACGACACGGACUCCAUGCAGCAGAGUUCGUCGGUACUAAGUUCAAUCGUGCGGGACCCUCAUGUUCAAGCAUUGCUUCGCCAGGAGACGAGUACUGAGAGAGCUGCUUCUAGAGAGGAGGCUAAGCUGGAGCAACUGGUGGUAGACUCGAACACUCCAUUGUAUGAUGGUUGCAAUCCUGAGGUGACCCGCUUGAGUUUCACGCUCCAACUCCUGAAGACGAAGGCUAAAAACAAAUGGACCGACACUAGCCUCGAUGAGCAUCUCAAGUACCUAAAGGAUGUUCUUCCCGCGGGUAAUCUAUGUCCUACUAGUGUUGAUGAGGACAAGAAGAUUGUGUGCCCUCUUGAUCUUCCACACGUUAGAUACCAUGCAUGCAUCAACGAUUGCAUAAUUUAUCGGAAGGAACACGCGGAAAAAACAAGCUGUCCGGUGUGCAAUGCUUCUCGAUACAAGAAGGCUGGGAAGAAAUGUCCCCAGAAAGUUGUAUGGUACUUAUCGAUCACUCCCCGUCUCCAGAGGUAUUUUGUAGAUCCCAAGGAAGCAAAGCUAAUGCGCUGACACGCGGAGAGGAAGAAGCCCGUCGAUGGAGAUGAUCCGAAGCUGAGACACAUGAAGGAUGGAAGCCAGUGGAGAGCAUUGAACAGCUUCUAUCGGUAUUUUGAAUGUGAUGCAAGGAACAUCGUGCUCGGCGCGUGUACCGAUGGCAUGAAUCCGUUUGGCAACCAGAACACCAACCAUAGCACAUGGCCCAUGUUUGUAUGGAUGUACAACCUCCCCCCUGGUUGUGCAUGAAAUCGAAGUACAUUCACAUGAGCAUGCUUAUUCAAGGGCCGAAACAACCAGGAAAUAAUAUUAAUUUGUAUCUGGGGCUACUUCAAGAGGAGUUAGACACGUUAUGGAAAACACCGGACAAGACAUGGGAUGCCAGCAAAGGCGAGUAUUUCAACAUGAGAGCCGCACUGAUCACGACAGUGCAGGACUAUCUCGGUUAUGGAUAUGUGGCAGGCCAGGUGUGCCAUGGAUAUUGCGGAUGCACGCGGUGCAUGGAUGAUAUGACGUCUCAGCAGCUAACGUCAAGGAAAGAUGGCGGGUCUGGAAAAAUCGUGUACAUGGGGCAUCGAAGAUGGCUUGAAUAGGACGACCCAUGGAGAAACCGUGGAGAUCUAUUCAAUGGUCACGCUGAGCAUCGAGGACCUCCACGUAAGCGGAGCGGUGCCGAAAUCGAUGAGCUGUUGAAAAACUGGAAGGAGUGCCCCGCGCCGGGAAAGACGAUGAGAAAGGCGCCGGACCCGCUGCUGAAGGUAUGGAAGACGAGGUCUGUGUUCUGGGACUUGGAGUACUGGCACAAACUCGAUACACCUCAUUGCCUUGAUCAAAUGCAUAUCUGUAAGAAUGUCCUUGAGAACUUGCUCGCAACACUGAUGAACAUGUCGGAUAAGACCAAGGAUGAGCCGAAGGCAAGAAAAGACUUGCAAGAUUUGAAAAUCAGGGAAGAUCUGCACAUGCCGCCCCGUAAAAUGUCAGAUGAGACAGAGACGGAGACAGAGGCACGGGAGAAGAAGGGCAAGAAAAUAAAGAAAGAGGAUUAUUGCCCCCCUUCUUGCUUCACCUUAAGUCAGGCUGAGAUCAAUGCCUUCUUUAAGUGCCUUACCGGAGUCAAAGUUAGUUCCGGUUACUGUGGCAAGAUAAGCAGAUAUCUAGACAUGAACAAGAAAAGGUUUAGCGGGAUGAAGUCUCAUGACUGUCAUGUGAUGAUGACGCAGAUACUACCUGUUGCCCUUAGAGGGAUAGUGGACAAGCACGUCCGUGACACGCUUAUUGGUCUCUGCAACUUUUUCGACGUCAUCUCUCGAAAGUCGAUCAGUGUGAAGUAGCUCCGAAGGCUAUAGGAAGAGAUCAUUGUGAUACUGAAUGAGCUUGAGAUGUACUUCUCGCCCGCGUUCUUUGCGUGAUGGUGCAUCUGUGUGUCCAUAUUGUGGAUGACAUAAUAGACCAGGGCCGUCAUUCCUGCACAACAUGAUGCCGUUUGAGAGGAUGAAUGGGAUCAUCAAAGGAUUCGUUCGUAACAUGUCCCGUCCGGAUGGAAGCAUCGUCUAGGGCUAUUUGACAAAAGAGUGCAUCUCUUUCUGUGAGAAUUUUCUAUAUGGCGCAGACCAGCCGCCUGGUGUUAGUAUUCGUUUGCCUGUUAACAAGCACGAUGGGAGGCUCGAAGGAGAUGGUCACUGCAACGGUCGCAGGGAACUGCACGUGGCAUACUCAGAUCGACGCAGCGACUUUGACAGAGCAAACUUGGUAGCGCUACAACACCUAGACGAGGUAGAUCCUUUCGUGGCACUGCACAAAGAAAUUAUCGCAAAGAAGUAUCGUGACCGGGGGGUAUGCAGGACGAACACCGAAGUUACUAGAGAGCACAACUCCACUUUCCUGCAUUGGUUCAAAGAGCAUAUUAUUGCUAAUCCCCCGGAGGAGGGCUCUAAGGACGGAUUGCUCAUAUACGGCUUAGCACAUGGCCCCUCGCCCAACCUCGUAACCUAUCAGGCAUAUGAUAUCAACGGAUACACAUUCUACACAGAGGCCAAAGAUAUGGACAGUGAUGAUCAGAACUCAGGGGUGACGAUGGAAUGCAUGACCGGCAGCGACAACGGCGCAACUGAAUGAUUUUAUGGAAGGAUCGAGGAGAUCUAGGAGCUUGACUACUCUGGACUGCACAACACGACGAUGUUCCGUGUCAGAUGGGCAAAGAAUGUCGAAAGAGAAAACCGGAUUUUCACUACCAUGAGUAUACCCGACCCCAAGAGCGCUACCGUGAACGCUAUCGCAAAAAACGAGCCAUGGGUACACGCUAAGCACGUGACACAAUGCUUCUUCAUAACCGACCCAUGCAAUCCCAGUCGUGUUGUCUUGAGGAGAGGCAAAAGGAACAUCAUUGGAAUGGAUGGAGUCGCCAACAAGGAAGACUAUGAUCAGUACGGCAACCCAAUGAGGAAACAUGACGAUGAUGAUGAAGUAUAUGUCAAAAGAAGAAUCAAUACUACAUUACCUAAGAAACAUCGUACUCCAUGGAAAAGGCAAAGUCACAAUGAGGGGCUCAAUUAUUCUUCGACGAACAAGAAGAGAAAGAAGCUGACUCAAAAAUGAAAACGUCAGCGCUAUGGAACCGUAUGUUAUUGGUCAAACGAUGUAAUAUAUAUAUAUAUAUAUAUAUAUAUAUAUAUAUGUUCCUAUUUUGUAUACACACUUAGACAUUAUUAUUCAUGGGUCCAAUGAUGUAAUAUAUAUGUUCCUAUUUUGCAUACAUAUUUAACCGUCAGAUGAUGCAAUAUAUAUCACCCUCCCUUCGUUCACUGCUCUCUGGAAAUAAAAGUGGGAGAAAAUAAAGGAAAAGAAAAAGGAAAACUGGAAGGUAGUAGUAGCGCGUUUCGUAUAAACUGCUACAGCUAUUGAAGGUAGUAGCAGUGCUUUUCGUACAAAUCGCCGCAGCUACUGAAGGUAGUAGGAGCGCAUUUUGGCCAAACGCGUUGCUGCUACGUCCACUUAACCCAAAAUUCUCACUAUCCCUGCUUCAUCCCGCCUUUUCCCCCCAAAUCCCCACUCUCUCUUCCCCCGUCGCUCGCCCCCGACCCCGGCGCCGGCGCUCGCCCCCGACCCGGCCCUCGCCCCCGACCCCGACCCCGGCGCCGGCGCUCGCUCCCGACCCAGACGCUCGCCCCCGACCCCGGCNNNNNNNNNNNNNNNNNNNNNNNNNNNNNNNNNNNNNNNNNNNNNNNNNNNNNNNNNNNNNNNNNNNNNNNNNNNNNNNNNNNNNNNNNNNNNNNNNNNNNNNNNNNNNNNNNNNNNNNNNNNNNNNNNNNNNNNNNNNNNNNNNNNNNNNNNNNNNNNNNNNNNNNNNNNNNNNNNNNNNNNNNNNNNNNNNNNNNNNNNNNNNNNNNNNNNNNNNNNNNNNNNNNNNNNNNNNNNNNNNNNNNNNNNNNNNNNNNNNNNNNNNNNNNNNNNNNNNNNNNNNNNNNNNNNNNNNNNNNNNNNNNNNNNNNNNNNNNNNNNNNNNNNNNNNNNNNNNNNNNNNNNNNNNNNNNNNNNNNNNNNNNNNNNNNNNNNNNNNNNNNNNNNNNNNNNNNNNNNNNNNNNNNNNNNNNNNNNNNNNNNNNNNNNNNNNNNNNNNNNNNNNNNNNNNNNNNNNNNNNNNNNNNNNNNNNNNNNNNNNNNNNNNNNNNNNNNNNNNNNNNNNNNNNNNNNNNNNGCGCUCGCCCCCGACCCGUCGGCCCUCGCCUCCCUCCUCUGCUUCCUCCCCUCCCAACCUCGGCCGUCGUCGGGCCUGCCUCCUCGCCCCUGCACCCUCUGUAAACCUCCCCUUCCACUCUCUCUCUGAUAGGGUUCUUCGGUUAAUUUACUUAGGUUUUAGUUAGGGCAGUAUGUUAAUUAGGUUAUCUAUUUAGUUAUGAAUUUAGCUAGGUUUCAAAAUUAGCUGAAUUUAUAUGCAAAUUUGAACUGGACAUGUGAUAUGUGGAUAUGUCAAGUUUGGAAAAUGAUCCGAGUGGCCUAUGUUACGCCGGAAUGUUGAUUCAUUUCUGUUCCGGUGAAUUUCAGGCCCUCGAUAUGUCCAUUUUUUAGCAAAGGUCAUGCCGAAAUUUCCCGUGAAUAAAGGCAUGAUUUGUGCUACAUAGUUGGCAUAUCGAGUGCUGGCACAUAGAUGUCUUUUUAUGUCAUUUCUCAUUUAUUCAUAUUUUUAGAAAUAAAUGAGGACACUUAAUUAUAGGAAACAUGUCGAACAACGAAGAAACUGGGCCUUCUGACCAAGAUGCAGACGAGAUGGAUUAUGAGGGUGAACAAGAGUACCUCGACUAUUUGACUACUAAGCAAGGUUUGCAGGUCGGCCUUGAUGAUGGUACUGAUGCCGACAUCGACACCGACGGCGCCGACACCGAGACCAGUGGGGAAGGUACCGACGGGGAAGGUACCGGCGGGGAAGGUACCAGCCCCGAUGCCGCUACCGAAAAGAGGAAGCAUAAGAAGCAAAGGAUACGAAAACCUAACAAACUAGGGAUUGGACAACUUGUGAUCACAAAGAUGGCACUUGGCAAGUAUGAGCUGUUAGAGCCAGAAGAACCUCGCAAGUGCUAUGGGAACCAAGUAGGAUGCAUCCUACGGGAAUGCACGAGCAUCAACGACGAUGAAUUAAGGAGUAAAGAACAUUUGACGCAGUUGAUCCUAAUGAAGUUGCACAAGAGAUUCAAGUUCCCCGACCGGGAUGAUAACAUAGAACAACCGUGGGAUGAUCCGAAGAUGAAAAAGAUUAACAAUCACGCCAUGGGCAUGUUCAGCAAUGAUUUGGCCUCGUGGAAAGGGAGGGUGAAACGAGCUAUUAAGGCUGAUGAACCCUUGUCCAAGAUUCUGGAGGAAAAUCCGACACUUACGGAAGAGGAGUUCGAAAAGUUCAAGGACACUUGCACUACCGAGGCAGCCAAGGCUAAGGCUGGGAAAUUCAAGAGCCUUCAGCAAAGGAACACGGGGAAGCAUCACCUCGGAAGCCGUGGCUACAUCGGUAAAAGGCCCAUAUGGGAUAAGAAGGAGGCGGAACAUGAAGCCGCGGGUCUCCCAGACCCCUUCGCGAAGUUCACCAACCCCGUGGAGCGUGACUUCAUCAGGGCCCGCUACAAGUGGACAAGGAGAAAAAGGUUUUUACACGGACAAGAUCAUGAGGAAAUUAAUUAGACUACUGGAGAAGCAACACCGGCUUGCAGCCGAAAGCCCUACUUCUCCGAUGAGGCCCAAGUGGGACACCCCUCUCUACCGGGCCUUGAACGAACUUAAGGGACUCCCUUUGGGCCAGCGGCCGCAAUAUGGUCGUGUGCACGGCGCUGGAGACGGCGCCACGUGGAAGGUAUUUUACGACGAGGGCCCGGAGGCCAAGAAGCAGAAAAAGAAGUUUAGUCAGGCGGACAUCGACGCGAAGGUGAAGCUUGCGGUCGAGAAAAAAGCAGCUGAGGACGCGAAAAAAGCAGCCGAGGACAAAUAUGAGUUGCUAUAGCAGGCAGUCAAUGCAGCUGUAACUGCCUGCAGAAAUGAUUUUGCUACUAACUUGGUUCUAGUUAUCAUCAACUGGACGAAGGAAACUCCAGACAAGACGGUACAUGAUUUCCCGUUGCCCAGUUUCGUCGGGAGCAACUCCAUGAACAACAACACCAUCGCACCAUCACUUGCUCACACAACUGGGCCUCCUCUCGCAGCCGCUCCCGCUCAUAGCAGCCCGUCCUCAGUCUCAGGUGUGCUAGGUGGGCCUUCAUCCUUGGCUGAGCUCGACGCCGUCACGGUAAUUACAUGUCGCACCAACAUAUAUAUAUAUAUAUAUAUAUAUAUAUAUAUAUAUAUAAUAUUCCAUUUUUGUUGCCUUUCGGUUGUUUUACGCCACAGACAUAUGUGUUUGCAGGAGAAAGAAACUCCGUGCACCAUACUCUACUUGAUCAAAGGCGAUAAGGUGGACGUGGGAAAGGGAAUGAUAAUGGACCGUUGGACACUUCAUGGUUAGCUUGACCAGUGUGAAAUCGGGGCAUGAGGAUUUGCCUCGUCCAGUACAGCAUGUGGGAGCGGACGACGAGACCCCGCCGCGGAUUGGAAUCUGCAAGGGUUGGGUGCUGCUAUGGCCAAAGAAUCUUAUUCGUCUGGAGCCGGCCGAGAGCACACUAAUAACCACACAUCAACAAGCAUGUGCGGAGACCACCACCCCGCCUACGCAAUUACCAGCUCCUGUAGUGCCGGGUGAGAGCGGCGGAUGACAUGAUGAAGGGGAUGCAAUAGUACUGGCUGAUGUAAUUUCUCCUGUAGAAGAGAGAAUGGAUGAUGAGAAGGAGGUCGACCCUAUGGAUUACAUCAAUACAAACGCGUAUGACUGUGACAUAGAUAUGAUGAGUCAACAAUAUGAUGAAUCGGGCUAUCAGCUUGCUAAUGAGGAUAUGGAUGAUAUGCCCGGGCAGGGUCGUAGCAGGGAUUGCAAAAAGUCUCUCUUCAUGAAAUCCUCACAGGACACGCCUGAAGAUGCCACCUCAACACAGGCUCAACUAGCCGGGCACGAGGGUCGUACAAUACUUAGCCCAGGAACACUGGGGCAGGGGUUAAGGAACGGUCUGGAAGGUGUGCCCAAGAAAAAGGAGAGGAAGAGAUCGGGGAAGAUAACUGCCUCCAAACAAGCCAGAGCACAUAACAGCCAGACUAUGCAUUCUGAAGAGCGUGUACCUAUGAAAGGUGCGGUCAUGUUCCAUCUCACGGGCGAGCUGAUGCUACCGCUGAAACCGCUGGAGGCACUAUCAGGUGAUCUCAGGAGACUGCACGACCAUGUGCUUUCGACUGAGAAAAGCCUACUAGCCUCAAAGGAUCUAGGAUAUCCGACAUACGCGGCUCGUGUGCCUGAGGGGAAGUGCUACAUCGCGACACGGCCCGCGGAGGUGUUCUUCCUGUGGUUUGACCAUAUCUUUGAGAUGUUUCUAACAAGGUGGCUCGAUUUUACAAUCAUCCGCCUUUUUGCGCUACAUAUGAGCUCCGUCAUGAAGAGUGAAGAAGUCUCGCAAAUCUGUGUGGCGGAUCCAUACUACAUGCACGAGUCUUUCUUGAGUCUCGGCGACUUUGAGCGUGAAACUGCUAGGGAGUACCUCCAAAACUUCAUGGUAUAGAAUAAGGACCGGGAAAUUGUCCUCGUGCCUUAUCAUCCAAAGUAAGUCAGUUCCGGACAACCCUUUCGUACAUUUCAAUCAUUCCUUCUGUCUCAUAUGGGGAAUAAUUUGAGGUGUCUUUUCCCCGCAGCAAUGGGCGCGCCGUCCUUAUCGUUCUUUACCCGCAAGUCUCCCACGCCGUGUAUUUUGAGCCUUCCAGAGACUACGAGAUAAAAGACUACACCCACAUAAUGAAUAUUCUAGAUGAUGCUCUCCAAGGCUUCAGCUUUAGAGGUGGCCACGUGCAGAUUAGGAAACAAAAGAACAAGAAGAUGGGUUUCGCGCAUAAAACUAACUUGUCCUGCAUCCAUGUCCCAAAACAAAGCAAGAAGGAUGGAUUCUACAUUGUCCAUCUCAUGAUUCAGUUCAACACGGAUCACCAAAAGCUUCGCAUAAGAAGCAGAAAUGAUGAUCAUAUCCACAAGUGGCUAGAAUCUCAUGGAGAAGCGGAUUAUAAACUUAGAGAUGACUUCUUUCGCAUCCAAAGCGACGUUGCGACGAUCAUCAUGAAAGAAGUCGUCGAUGAGAAGGGGAUGUUCCACCACGGCCCUAUAUCGCGAGCUGACGUCCGAACUCGCAUAGGCAUGCAACGUCUAGACCUCAUGCCAUUCAAGAAGCUAGGGUUCAUCCUCGAUGAUAUGGAAGGAUGGAACUUCUAGUGAUUUAUGAUGCCGAUGAUGAUGAUAUGUGUCGGUUGAACUUGUAUACUUUUUGUAGCGAUGAAACUUUGUGAUGUCCAUGGUCCCUGCCGAACUUGCGUAACGCUACUUUGUUAGUUUGCGUACGAUGACCUGCGUACCUCUAGUUAAUUAAUUUACGUACUGUAUGUUGCAUCUAGUUGCUAACCCUUUCUUUUUCGGUGUUGCUCUAGUAUAUUUUGUUGCAUAUAUAUGAUUGUACAUCCUCUUCAUGAACAUGCAUCUCUAACAGGUACCUAGUUUCUUGAUGGCAAGAUGGAAUUGCUAUGUCAUGUACAAAGGGAAGGUUCCGGGGGUGUACAACGAGUGGCAUGAGUGUCAGGCGCAAGUGAAUGGGUUCACGGGUGCCAGCCAUAAAGGCUUCAAAAGCAGACAAGAAGGAGAAGCUAGUUACUUGAGGUUCACGCUAGCGCGAGAGAGGACUCAUAACCGCCACCUCAUGUACUGCAUAUUUCCGCUCUCACUCAUAGUGAUAGCUCUUCUUGCGUAUACCUUUGUUUAGAUGGAUGACAUUGUUGUAGUUGCAAGUAUCGCUAUUUUCGAGAUGAUGACAAGAUACCACUUUGUGUUGGAUGAUGAUUAUGAUGAGACUAUUUGUAGGUAUAUGCUACGAUUACAUUUGUGGUCUCGCAGGCAUUUGUAUGUGUAUCAUGAUGACAUUUCUAUGUGCUAAAGAUUCUUCUAUAAAGCCUGUUCAAAUACAAAACAAAUAUGCCAAAAAAACAAAAAAACUACUUAAAUUAGCAGUAGCGAGUGUAUAAAAGUUAGCAGCAGCACCGUGAUAGCAGUAGCGCAUCCAGGAAAAGCGCGCUAGAGCUACUAGUAGUAGCGAGCUUCCGCUAACCGCACUGCUGCUACACUUGUGUAGCAGUAGCGCCGGUGAGCACGCGCUAGUGCUAUGUGUUAGCUGUAGCGCCUUAUUAGUAGCGCCGCUACCCGCGCUACUGAUACACCUAAAACUUGUGCUGCUGCUAGCCUUUUCCCUAGUAGUUUUCUUCUCCUAUCGUGGCAACGGAGCCGAAGUUGGCGGCUCAGCUUACAAGAGGGGGCUCGGGGCAGGUGGCCUCGACUCCCUCUUCCCUUGUGGCGCCUAGGGUGGUCGCACCACUUAUGGCGCCGGCGAGUCCCUCUAGCCAGAGGGCCGGGGUGGGUGGGGAGUACGGGUAGGCUGCCCGCGCACUUCCCUCCCCUGGCACGCCUACGCUUCAGUGCCGCGGUGCACGGCUGACGUCGGUGACGCCCUAGAGUUCCCCGCAGCUGCUUUUGGCUGCUCCUGCUAUUUCUUCGACGGGUGCAGCCCUGCUGGGUGUUGGGGGUGAGGCCGGAGGCCACACUCCGAGCAUGGUCACUCGGUAGGAGGUUAUUGCGUUUGCAGGGAUUCCGGAUCCAGUCUCUGCGGGGCGAUGGAUGAGCUGCCAUCUCCAGGUUCAUCCGGAGGUUGAUGACAUGCAGCAGCGGUGCGCCAUGAGGGCGGCCAAGCUUCGUGACAUUGAGGUCACUACUGGUAUGUCGGUUAAUACCUCUAAUUCCAUUCUGCAUUUUUCUAAUAAUGAGAUUAUUAAUCACGCAAGCCAAUUAGGAGUUUCACUAGGGAGCAAUGAUAGUGAAAUUUCAAAUUCCGUUAAUGAUAUCCUGGAUUUGGAAGCGGAAUGCGCUUUAGAAAUGAUUCGAAACUUAGCAGCGGUUAAACCCAUGAAUGAUUCUGAUAUUGAUGCAUUGGGGGUCAGGGUGAUCGAUAAUUUUUGUGCAGAUCUUGCACCAUCCCUUCCUUAGUCUGAGGAAGAGAAUGACACUUUUGAGGCUGCAGUAGUUAGGUCCACAGAGCCUGGUUGUAAGGACCGGCUGGAGAAUCAGAACAAACCUAAACGCAAGUGGAAGCGGAAGAUUAACUCGGCUUCGGCGGUGCGUAGGAGUGCUAGGAUGCGUACUACUAAAUUUUUUUCAUGAAGAAAUAUGAAAGGAAUCUUUGGAAUAGCAGAGGUCUGAAAGACUUGGCUAAAAGAAGGUUUCUUGCAGAUGCGUUUAUCGAUCAUAGGGUGGAUUUUAUUGCAUUAUAAGAAACUGGUAGAGAUAAUUUUUCGCCCCUGUUUCUCAGUACUUUAUCGAGAGGUAUCGAUUUGAUUGGCAUUGUCUGCCUCCGAGAGGAAGAUCGGGUGGGAUCUUACUCAGAGUUAGAUGCGAUUCGCUCGAAGUCCGAAGUGUGGUGAUGGGAGAUUUCGCAGUUAAGUUUCGGGUGCGGUCCAAGGCCGAUGGGCUUAAUUGGGCUCUGGUGGCGGUUUAUGGUGCCGCGCAGCCCGAACUGAAACCAGAGUUCUUGGCAGAUCUUGUUCGGAUUUGCGGCUCUGAGCAGCUCCCAAUCCUAGUUGGGGGUGAUUUCAACAUUAUUAGAAGGCGAGAGGAAAAGAACAAUGAUAAUUUCGACGGGAGUUGGUCGUUCAUGUUUAAUACCAUUAUUGAAAGCCUGGAUCUGAGAGAGAUAGAGAUUUCGGGUAGAAAAUUCACCUGGGCCAACGCGUUGCCAAAUCUGACGUUUGAAAAGCUGGAUCGAGUCUUAGCGAGCGUCGAAUGGGAACAGAAGUUUCCCUUCGUAACUGUCCAGGCACUUCCGCGUGGUAUUUCACACCACAUGCCUUUAUUUGUGGACUCUGGUGAGGCAACCCACAAGGGGAAUAAAAACUCUUUUUCGUUCGAACUGGCUUGGUUUGAACGAGAAGGCUUCUUGGAUCUGUAGCUAGGGAAUGGGCUAAGGAUGCAGGAGGCAGGACUACGGUUGAGCGUUGGCAGAAUAAGAUAAGGCAUUUGAGAAGUUUCUUGCGUGGGUGGGCUAAGCAUCUUAGUGGAAUUUAUAAGGUCGAAAAGGAAAGGCUUCUUACACUUAUUCAGUCCCUAGAUUUAGAAGCCGAAUCCACAAUUCUGCCAGCCUCGGAGCUUCAUGCUAAGCUUGAGGCAGAGAUGAGAUUGAAAGAGCUUCUCCGUGAAGAGGAAUUAAAGUGGGCGCUGCGGGCUAAGGUUCGCAAAGUUGUUCAAGGGGAUGCGAACACUCAAUUCUUUCACAUGAUCGCCAAUGGCAAGCACAGAAAGAAGAGGAUCUUUGAGCUUGAACAAGAUGAAGGAACGAUUUUAUGACAGGAAAAUCUAAAAUUUUACAUAACCGAAUACUACAAGCAGUUGUUUGGGCCUCCAGAGGAUAAUUGUGUAUCUCUGUAUGAGUCUAGGAUUGAGGAUGUUCCUCACUUGCUGCUGAUGAGAAUGAUAUUUUGACUGCCUCUUUUUCCUAGAAAGAGGUGUUUGAGGCCAUUUUACAGAUGAAAAACAAUAAGGCCCCAGGACCGGAUGGAUUUCCGGCGGAGUUUUAUAAAAAAUGCUGGCAUAUUAUUAAGGGGGAUUUGUUACCGAUGUUCCAUGAUUUAUUCUCCGGACAACUUCAGUUAUUUCACCUGAAUUUUGGAACGAUAACCCUGCUUCCUAAGAAAACAGAGGCUGUGAGAAUUGAGCAGUUCAGGCUCAUUUGUCUUCUUAAUGUUAGUUUCAAUUUUUUUACCAAGGUUGGGACUAAUAGGCUCAUGCGGAUUGCGCAUUCUGUGGUGCAGCAUUCCCAAACUGCUUUCAUGCCGGACAGAAACAUCCUAGAAGGGGUUGUGGUGCUGCAUGAAACGCUCCACGAGUUUCACACAAAAAAACUAGAUGGAGUUGUUCUCAAGGUGGAUUUCGAGAAAGCGCACGAUAAAGUCAAAUGGCCUUUCCUUCAACACGCCUUACGUAUGAAAGGUUUUGAUGAAGCCUGGCUACGCCAGGUAGAAUCUUUCACGUAAAAAGGGAAUUUUGGAAUUAAAGUGAAUGACGACAUAGGUCAUUAUUUCCAAACACAUAAGGGCCUGAGACAAGGUGAUCCGAUGUCUCCUAUUUUGUUUAACAUUUUGGUUGAUAUGUUGGCAAUUCUAAUAGGAAGGGCUAAGGAGGCUGGUCAGGUGGGUGGCUUGGUGCCCCAUCUAGUUGAUGGAGGUGUGUCUAUCCUAUAGUACCCUGAUGAUACGAUCAUCUUUAUGGAGCACGAUUUGGCAAAAGCGAGAAAUAUGAAGCUAGUGUUAUGCUUAUUUGAACAAUUGAUCGGGUUAAAGAUUAACUUUCAUAAAAGCGAAUUGUUCUGUUUUGGUAGAGCCAAUGAGGAACAAGAGGCUUAUAGGCAAUUGUUUGGGUGCGAAUUGGGGAUUUUACCUUUUACUUACUUAGGUAUACCCAUUCAUCAUCGUAAGCUGACAAACAGAGAAUGGAAGUGCAUCGAGGAUCGCUUUGAAAAGAAACUGAGUUGCGGGAAGGGCAAGCUCAUGUCAUACGGAGGCCAAUUAAUUCUUAUUAAUUUGGUGCUCACGAGUAUGCCUAUGUUUCUCUUGUCUUUGUUCGAAGUCCAAGUUCGAAUUAGGAAAAGGCUGGACUUAUAUCGAUCCCGAUUCUUCUGGCAGAGCGAUGAACUAAAAAGAAAAUACAGAUUUGCCAAAUGGGAUAUUAUUUGUUGACCAAAAGACCAAGGGGGUCUUGGCAUUGAAAAUCUUGAAGUCAAGAACAUGUCUUCUCAGCAAGUGGCUGUCUAAGUUGUCUGCUGAGACUGAUGCCACAUGGGCGCAGAUUCUCUGUAGUAAGUAUCUGCAGUCCAAAACUUUGUCCCAGGUGACAGUGAGACCGACAGACUCACCUUUUUGGAAGGGGCUCAUGAGAGUCAAAUCAGCCUUUUUCAAUAGGACAAAGUUUAUUAUCAGUAAUGGCACUACCACGCGUUUCUGGGAGGAUACCUGGCUAGGAGAGAUGCUACUCGUGCUUCAGUACCCGUCCCUUUAUAGUAUUGUUCAACGACGUGAUGCUUAUGUUGCAACGAUAUUUCAGUCCAUCCCCCUUAAUAUUCAUUUUAGGAGGACGCUUGCCGGCAAUCGUUAGGAAGUGUGACUUCAUUUAGUGAGUAGACUGAUGGAGGUUCAGCUAUCUCAAUAGCCCGAGCAGUUGCGCUGGAAGCUCACUAGGUCUAGAGAGUUCACAGUUAAAUCGAUGUAUCUCGAUGUUAUCAACUCUAGCGCCAUUCCUAGUUCAAAAUAUGUUUGGAAAGUCAAAGUUCCUUUGAAAAUUAAAGUGUUUAUGUGGUUUGUACAUAAACAAGUCAUAUUAACUAAGGAUAACUUGGCAAAGCGCAACUGGAGAGGAUCUACUAGGUGUAGUUUUUGUGAUCGGGAUGAAACUAUCAAACACCCUUUUCUUGAUUGCCCGUUGGCCAAAGUUUUGUGGCGGACGGUGCACAUAACCUUUAACAUUACUCCUCUGAAUUCUGUCAACACGUUAUUUGGAAUGUGGCUUAAUGGGAUAGAGUCCGAAACAACUAGACACAUUCACAUAGGAGUAUGUGCUUUAUUGUGGGCAAUUUGAAACUGUAGAAAUGAUUUGAUUUUUAACAGAACAACAAAUAUUCAUUUUUUGCAGGUUAUCUUCCGAGCCACUGCGCUAAUCCGUAUUUGGUCGCUACUUAAUCCGACGGAGGUCAGGGAGCGUUUGGUUACUAGAUCUAUCCGGUGGGAGAUGGUAGCACGGGAUAUCUUCAACUGGUUUGGAUGGCGGUCAUUUAAUAGGAUAGGCAAUUAGUUUUCCUAUCUUUCUUAUGCCAGCCGGUUGUGGCCUUUUGGCUUUUGUGUUUUUGGCCCUUUGGCUCUUUGUGAGCUUGCCUUUACUUUUGUUUCAGAUUUUAAGAUCUUGUUGAACCUAUUUGCUUAUUUAUAAAGUUGUCCGUAUGUAUCGUUCUGAUGCAGAGAGUCUCCUUUUCGAAAAAAAUAAAUUAUUGUGGCUUCUUCUCCGCCAGCUCGAGCGAUUGAUCUCCUCCUUUCCCAUGCCGUCAUGGUAUCCUCGCUGACAUGCGUUUGGCCUUUAUGCCCUGCAGAUCCACCCAUGCCCUCUCUAUUGCCACUCUACCGGUCGUGCAGAGAAGAUCGAGAAAUGCAGCCUAACGCCGGUGGCCAGCUGAUUCCGCGGAUGAUUCCACUCAAACGUAAUGAACAUGUAUGAACAGGUUUGCACUACGUCCAUGUCUUUGGGGCAUCUGCAGCUUCACAUAAUUGCUAAUCAGUGGCUGGGAUUUUGACCUCCUCUUAUACAUAUGUAGAGUUGCUAUGUGAUUAAAUUUAUAUUGUUUUAAUAAUUUUCAAGCUUGGAAGAUGAUGAUUAGUUCAAGACACUGAAAGACGUUAUCUUUAUUUCGGAACUUAUUCCGUGCACCAAGACUCUGUAGCAACAGAUCAAUACCCUACCUCUUGCUACUUUGAUUCUGUUCUUCUCUAGAGAGAAUAGCUUUGUAACCUGUCCGAUCUCUCUAACCUCAUCUAUGAAUUUGGUUUCUUAGAGUUCAACCAUGUCAACCAUGUCUUUCAAAAAUAAAACUAAAAUAUAUUCCAUUUAUUUAUCCCACUGUUUAUUGGCAAUUUGGUCAUACCUUUGUAGUUCAUUUUGGAAGACAGUCAGAGAACAUUAGCUACUAACAAUAGCACAGUUUUUUGUCCGGCGAGGACAUCGAUAUGGAUGUUGCGAGCAGGUAGAUAGAGACCCACAACAACAACCUGCUACGGACUCCACAACAAAUCAUCUUCAUGUGGUGGCGUGAGGUGCCCAAGUGUCAGGUUGCUGGUGCAACGGCUGGCAACGACAUGUCUGGAUGCCAUGCGCAGAUGUGUGACAGUGGCGUACAUCCUAUAUCGAUGUAUGUUUUCCUCUCUUAACUGGAUUAUGAUGAAAUUAAGGAUCACGUAUCAUAUGCAUGCAUGAUAGCAACGUACAGUUUUUCUGUACAAAUGGUGUGUUGCACUGCUAUUUUGUUGAAAAGACAUUAUCUUUUAGAUCCUUUUAUUUCUUAGUUUCUUUUCCUUAUAAUAAUUGAUGAUUUGGUUGACUUCUUGACUAGAGGUUUUAAAGACGCGAAUAAUUGGCUAGAAGUAUAGUAUGUCUUGCUAUCUAAGUUUCCAAUUGUAUUUCGAUCAACAUUCUAUAGCUGACCAAUUGCUAUGUCCGCACAUAUACAUGCUAAAUUAUAUAUGUUUAUCUUCGAAUGAUGAGACGAAAAAAAAUGUAAGAAUGAAAAUCUACAUACACUAGCAACUUCCAGUUUUAUAUCUUAGCUCAUAGCUACUCUUUCAGCUCAAGUUCUGCUAUGUCUAAAUGUAUAUGGAAAUUUUCUCUUCCUCUGUACCUUAAAGAGCAUAUAUGGCUAGGCAUUCAUUUGAACAAGCCUUUGAUUGGGAAUUGACGUUAUUCAUAUUUUCUAAAAGCCUGCAGUUUUUUUCCUAUAAUUUGUACUGCAUAUAGUUAAGUUAGGCUUGAGCAACAGUUUUUCCAUAUUUACAAUUUAGUUAGGUGUACGCAAAAAUAUGAAAUAGUGUUAUUAAGGCAGAGGAAAAGUAUGGAGGACAUAUUUGUGACAAGAAAAAUCAAACUUAUCUACCUAUACAUUUGUUAUUUUGUCUUCAUUACCUUCCUUAAAAAUAUACUAAUAAGACCAUAUCAAGUGCAAACAUUCUGCUCCCAGCCUUCCUUUAGGAAAAAAAAGUUCAACAAAAUAAUAUCAAUCCAAUCCCUCUUUAAAUUUGAGAAAUUCCUGAGUUUUUUUCCUUUAAAUGUAAAUACUUAUACUAGCGUUCGAAUAUGGCAUACUUUGAAUUUCCUGUUACACAAACCAGACUAAUUAAUGUGCGGGUCGUAAUUUUGAAAUAAUAAAUGAAAUAUGCACUCCUUCAGAUUUUUGUUAACAUACACACAAAAAUAUUAACUUUAAAUUUUUUAUGUUGCAGACAUCUACAUUUAAUUUUUUUUUUGAAAUUUAGAAUGUGCACAUCCACAUUUGCGGAUUACAUACAAUACUUAUUGUCACUGUAGUUUAGGCAGAAGCACACAAGAUUUUGAAUCGCAUUUCUUAUGAAAAGAAAUGAUAGUACUUUUUCACAAUGAAAACAUAUUUACCAUUUUUUACAGUAAGGAAUGUUACGUAAAUAUUUUACAAAGAAUAAGUUCCGGCCCAAGGAGACUCAGUUUGUAAAUAUACAAAAGGAGAGCAAUAUUGACAUGUUUGCCAAUUUUGUAGUAACAUGCUUUCGUGUAUAGUAUGUUUCCUUUCAUUAACAAUGUCACAAGGAAUAUAAAAACAAAAAUCCUUCAUGUAACUCUACACGUGUGUGUUCCUUCCAAAUAUAUUAAUUCAAAUAAUCAAUGAACAAGCUUCACACUUUACAGUAGCAUAAACAAGGUCACCUAACCUUACAAAAUAUUUUCAUGCCUGCUAUAGGUUUUGUAGUUGGCAGUGGAUCACUGGUCAUGAAUCCAUUGUAGGCAUAAUUCGUCACCCUGAUAUUUACAUAUAAAAUUAUAUACUCUAUACUCUAUGAAUUACGGUGAGCUAUAAUUUAUUUUGAAGAGUAAUUUUGAAAAUUAUAUUUACAUGUACUCUUUUAUCCCCUCUUCAUGGAGAAGUAGCUAACUUCUAAUGAAUAUUGCAUGCAGCAAAAUGUUAAUAGAAGUUCAAGGUACAUACAUCUACCUAAAAUAGGCUAACCCGUGUGCAUGCACGGGUUUGACGACUAGUAAUUAGUUAAUCCAGCACCAUUGGUUGUCCCGACGAAGAUAAUUUCACACAUUUGCUAAACACCAGGUGCCUGGAAUUUUUCAUCUCUAGCAGACCCUGUAAAAGGCCGUAUAAUUUCGGCGACCCAUUUUUUGCGAGAACAUACUCCGUAUCCCGCGCCUGGCCCGUGAAAAGUUUACCGUGGCCGGAAAAAGAUCCUCUCCACCACUAUUUAUGCGGUUUCACCGCUCGAAUACGGGUCAAACCCUAUCCGCCCUCCCCGCCGCUCCGCCGCGAUUCCCCUCCCCCUCCGCCCUAAUUUAUCACCGCCGGCGAGCUUAAAAAAAUCCCUAGCGACCCUUCCCGACCCAUGGACGACUACAAAAGUGGUGGGGAUGAUGCAGAGCGCCGCCGCGUCGUCGACGCCGCAAGCAAGCGGGUGGCGCGAAAGUGCCUCAACUAUGGGAGCCGGCCGCCGCCGGCGUUCGAACUCCACGAGCUCGACGAGUACGAGCACGAACUCGCGUUCCGCCGCCGCGCCUCCUCCGGCUCGCACGCGUCCAAGGAGGAGGACCUGCGCGUCAUGAAGGCCGAGAAGGCCAUGGUCUGGAUCGACCUCGACUCCGACGAGGACUGAGCAUCUCCGGCUCCUCCGCCACGUCAUCGCCGCCGCACCCGUUGAUUUUGGUAGCCUAGGAUNNNNNNNNNNNNNNNNNNNNNNNNNNNNNNNNNNNNNNNNNNNNNNNNNNNNNNNNNNNNNNNNNNNNNNNNNNNNNNNNNNNNNNNNNNNNNNNNNNNNNNNNNNNNNNNNNNNNNNNNNNNNNNNNNNNNNNNNNNNNNNNNNNNNNNNNNNNNNNNNNNNNNNNNNNNNNNNNNNNNNNNNNNNNNNNNNNNNNNNNNNNNNNNNNNNNNNNNNNNNNNNNNNNNNNNNNNNNNNNNNNNNNNNNNNNNNNNNNNNNNNNNNNNNNNNNNNNNNNNNNNNNNNNNNNNNNNNNNNNNNNNNUGUAGUAUGAUGAACAACUAUCUAUGAUGUAGUAUGAUGAAUAUCGCUGCAAGUUUCUCCCACAAAUGUUUUUUUUAUUUUACAGUUUCAUAUACGGGAUCUGAUCUGCAGCGCACGGAUUCGCCCAGCAAAUCUGAUCUGUAGCGAGCUGUAAACGCGUUUUUUGGGUCCGACUUUUACGGGGUCUGCUAGAGAUGCUCUUACAACCUGUUUUGUACGAGGCCGAAGGCAGGGACGAUGUCAGGUGUGACAAUGACGAGGACGAGCCCAAAACAUGACCGAUGCAGGUUGAGGGUGGAGGUGCGCCAGCAUGUCGGUCGGGGGAGGUUGAGGGGAUGGCGGGUUGGCGAGGCGGUGCGCGCGCCCGCCGGCCGGAAGCGAGGCUGCCGGUUAGGGCAGGGUAGCUCACGUGGGAGGAGGAGAAACUGCCGCGCGAGGGAGGAAGACGUGAGGGGAAGAAGGUUAGCAGGUGGCGGCACGAUCGUGCCAUCCAACGGCCCGGAAAAUUGACUGAUCCGGAUUUUUUCCUAGAUACCUGACAUAUAUGCGGUCCUAAUUUUAAUACUGCUUGAACGCCAUGGUGUAAGAUAGAGCCCAUUGAUUGAGUUGAAUAAAACAGUUACACAUUAUAGUUUUUUUAAUGAGACAACACCAUUAUGGCUAGCUUACAUUCAUGUGAAUAAGGGCGCGUAAACAAAUUAAGAAUUGAAGUCUAUGGAUCAACACCUAAGCAUCCGUGUUCCCAUCUCAUUUCACGUAUAACCUACGGGCUAAAAGUGCAUUUACAAAGUUACUGUGAAUAAAGAGCCCCCCUGGUUGCUCCUAGGGCCGGCUCGGGCUGAAACCUCGCUCCUGCCGUCGUCACUGCUUUUUUUUCUAGAAAAGUAUAUCUUAUGUCUCUUAACUCUCUUGAAAGUAAAGAAAUGAUUCCGCAACUUUAAAACCAGCAAAACAUAGUACCCCAAAUUCUAAAACCAGAUUACUUUAGUCCCCUGACUCAACACAUGCUCACUUGGCAUGGUUUUGAUUAGUCCCCGCCCAUGUGGAAAUCUUCUUCCUUCCCAUUGUAACCCGGCUGGGUAUUUUGUCGAGCAGUUGGUGCGCGCCGAGCAACAAGAGAAGAAGGUAGGUGUGGGGCUUGUGUGGCUAGCGGCGGGGCACAGAGAGGGUGCAGGCGCCCAGGGAGCUGCUGCACGACGAUGAGCCUUGUGGGACGAGAUAUUAGCACGACACGAGUAUCACUGGAUUAAGGUAGCUAGGUUUACAAGAUCCGCUCCUUACAAGCACAUCAUUGCCGAAUUUGAGAGGGGGAAGGGAUGAGAGGAACUAGGGUUCUAAGAUAAGAGGUAGCCGCCACCGUGUCGUGCCUUGAUCGAUCUUCGAUCCCCUCUCUCCAGUGUGGGGAUCCUCACCUUAUACUUCCCCUGCAGUGUUCACCCACUCACUACUAGUUACCCUCUUGUUGGGAUUCCUUGUCCUCCUUGCUGGGCCUCGGACUGUUUCCUCGUAAAGCUCCGUAGCUUGCUGGGCUGGAGGUCUAGUGUUCUUAGGGACGCUAACAUCCUCUCCCUCUUGAGUAGAGGCUUGACCCCAAGCCGCUGCGAGAGGAAAAUGAGACUGAAGUUUGUCUCGGUCUUUCCAGGUCCGCUUGGGUGUGUGUCACCUGACCAUCAAAACCAAACUUGAUCGACCACUCUGUUGGCAUUGGUCUUCUGUUGAUAGUUGAGCACUUCAAUAGGAACAACAAACUAGUUAGUAUCGUGAGGAAGAACAUGGGAGACUAACACACCUGGUUUUAGGGCUUUACAAAGCUGGCAAACAUGAAAUACGAGGUGGUUUUUUGUUUGAACAAAGGAAUAAAUAAUGACUACUGGNNNNNNNNNNNNNNNNNNNNNNNNNNNNNNNNNNNNNNNNNNNNNNNNNNNNNNNNNNNNNNNNNNNNNNNNNNNNNNNNNNNNNNNNNNNNNNNNNNNNNNNNNNNNNNNNNNNNNNNNNNNNNNNNNNNNNNNNNNNNNNNNNNNNNNNNNNNNNNNNNNNNNNNNNNNNNNNNNNNNNNNNNNNNNNNNNNNNNNNNNNNNNNNNNNNNNNNNNNNNNNNNNNNNNNNNNNNNNNNNNNNNNNNNNNNNNNNNNNNNNNNNNNNNNNNNNNNNNNNNNNNNNNNNNNNNNNNNNNNNNNNNNNNNNNNNNNNNNNNNNNNNNNNNNNNNNNNNNNNNNNNGUCGUGUGAGCACCCCUCAGGGCACGCCACCUUCCCGUGUAGGAUGCGCCAUGCGUUGAUAUCCCAAUUGUUAUCACUUUGGACUCUAGGGUUCAGAACUAUAACAUGUGCAUACAACUUGGAGAUAAGAUCAAGACACACAAAUAUAUCCAUGAAAACAUAAAGGGUUUAGAUAUGAAAUCAUGGCACACAGACCCUAUUGACAAAUAAGCAUAGCAAAAUCAUUGCAACAUCAAUCCGCGAACAUAGUGGACACUAGGCAUCAAACCUUAACAAAUCUGACAUCAGUUACAUAAGAAAUCUCAUCCGAUUCAGACGUACUCCAUGCACCUACAGAGAAUAACUCACACAUGGGUGUGCGUGUCAUGAAAUUAUUGAUGUAUAAGGGUUGGUGAUGAUGACAGUGACAAAUCCCCCUCUCCGGAGUCAGAAAUAGAUUCCAUAUCAGAUCUCCAGAGCAAGAACAUGAGGUGGUGGCAGCUCCAUAUCGUAAAAUGUGUCGAUAAUUUUUUGUGAUUAACAUAAGCUUACUAUGGGGAAUAAUGGUGUUGGCAUAUUCGCAACGAGUUGUGGUUAUGUGAUGUUACAUACGGAAAAAUAUUUUUGUGUGAUGAAUAUCACUAAAUGAAAUAUUUGUCGAUACGGAGGAAGUAAUUUUUCCCUAAAUGAAGAUACAUAAUUUAUAAUUUUCCAGCUACUCUUAUCUCGUCCUUAUUCGUUGUUGUUUAUUUGAUUCUUCAACCAAUAUUUUAGCUCAUAAAAUCAAAUUAUAUCUACAAUCAAAAGGGACAUAUAUUUGGACCUUGCCUUAUCACUUGUAAAUAACUCUUAACUUAUUCAUACUAAAUAUUUGUACUUUCUUUAAACUCAUUGACAUUGAAUAUUAACUAUAUUUUUAAACCACUAUAACUAUUAUACUACAAUAAAUCUGAUAAAAAAAUCUACUAUAUGUGUAAGAACAUAAACCACAAAAGUGUGCUAGCAACAUUAGAACUCAUGUUUAUGCAACUCAAAUCUCUAUCAUUACGAAUAUGUGUUAAAACAUAACUAUAUUUUUCAUGGAGGCUUAGUUUGUUCCAAUAUUUUUAUUUUUGUUCACUAUAGAGAAUUCGUCUAGAUCUAAAAAAAAGGCACAUGCUAUUAUUAAUAUAUUUUUGUUGCUUAGAUAUUUAUACUUAUAUUUAUAUGUUAAUAUGUAUAACAAUCUUGAUAACCCGUUCAAUGCAUAAAUUUAAAUCUGCCAAUAGAGGUUCUUACAAUAUGAUUUUUAGCUUAGUUUUAAAGUCUCAAAAUAAAGGCAUCAUUUUUUUUUUCUUUUCAGGCAUUUUCACGAAAAACACGUAGACAAUUAAAGUUUGCAAAAUUCCUUAGACCAUGAGAGUGUCGAGUUCCUUUGUUCUUGCUUCACAAACUUUGAGGUUAGUUAAACGUCAUCCGUAAUAGGGUGGCUAUUACGGCGGCUUUUGGGUUCAUGGAAAAGUACUCAAGAUUAGGAUUUUCUCCUCCGAUGAUGGUGAGAUAUUCUAGGGCCCUCACCGUGUUAGGGUAUCUAUCAUCGUCUCGCCAGACACAGUGUAAUUCCAUCACAAGGAUACUGGAAUGUAGUAACAAGAAAGGGAACAAAACCGAUAAGGAGGAAACUGGCAUAAUGAACAAGUUCUUGAUUCACGGAGAUGCCAACUUGUAACAUAUCAUGAAGAGACAGGAGCAACAUUCGGCAACUACAAGUUCGCUCGAAUAUUUAUUCAUGUGGGUAUAGGGAUCAAUAUGAAUGUCCUCGGUACCGCUAUUGAUCAUUGAUCGAAAAAUGUUCAGGUAAUGCCUAUACUUCACCGAACAUACACGGUUACACAAUUAAGGGUCAUCUAUCUGCUCAGUAAUAGACAGUGAAUCCGAGAGAUUGUUGUCGGAAAAGUUUCGGAGACGACAUAAGAGUUUCAGAGAAAAAACCGAAAAUGUUUCUGAGAUAAACUUCAUACUGGAAAUGUUCCGAACACGUCCAGAAUUAUUUAUGGACAGAGAAGCCCUGCUGGACAGUUCACAGCGGAUGUGUGCAACCUGGUAGAGAGGUCGUAGGUUUGAUCUUAGUUCAAGAGACACGCGGAGGUUCUGUCUGAGGGAUUUUUGAGUUUCUGUCCGGGAGCCUUUCUAAGGGCUGUCCGAGGGACUGUUCGAGUUUCCAUCCGGGAGCCUUCCGAAGGGCUGUUCGAGGGACCAUCCGAGGGACUAUCCGGGGAGAACAUCCUCGCGGUUGGGAGGUUGUAAAAUCCUAGCUGCGGGGAUCCGCACCAAUGAUCUCCACCGACUCUCCUUCCGUCGCGCUACGAAUCGAUAAUGAUUAGAUCAAACCUUGUAUGCAUCGUCAUAGUGAUCCUAGGCAUGUACGUAGCACGAAAUUUUAUUUGUUUUCUGCUACAUUAUCCAGCAGAAUAGCGCCGGAGCUCCGUCGACUAUGUCCAGACGGACGAACUCAAGGAGUGUUUGAGCCUAGAAGACAAACUCAAAAAAAGAAGCAUCGACAUUCGUCGAAGCGCCACAAUUGUAAAAAAACAAGGGAAAUGAUCAGAGAAAGAAGAUGUAGCACGUGAAUGCCAAAAAUACAUUGAUCGUAUCAUGAUUCAUGAAAUCAUGCAUGCUUGCGUACGUACUGCACAAUUUUUUUUUUGAGAAACAAGAAUACAGCAGUACUCUAAGCCACCACCUCGUCGGCGGCUAAAACCGCAUUCAGAUCAUUCGGUACACCUGCCACCAUCAGCAUAUCCUCAUGCCUCCUUGUUCUAGCGGCCAAGGAGUGGGCAAGUUUGUUCUGGUCACGCCUAGAGUAUACGAUCUGAACUUCGCUGAAAAGUUUGAGCUCCUCCAUAAUAUCAGUAAACACAGACUUCCACGCCGAUCGGUUGGAGCCUCCCGGUCUGAGCUCUUUCACGACGAAAGUGCAGUCAGAUUCUGCGAUGAUAGGUCCUCUGUACAUCGGGGACAGUGCUCUCAAGCCUGCAAGCAGGGCAUGUGCCUCGGCUUCCUCCACUGCAUUACAAUUAGCAAUCCUUUUUGAUAGCGACAUGAGGAUGAGCCCAUUGUGAUCCCGUGCGACGGCACCAGCAUGAGAGUCUCCCGUACUGCACAAUUCGUUGCCAUAUAUCACUAGCCAAGUUAACACAACUUGACCAAUUUUUUAUUAUUCUGUGUGCCCUUUUAUCUAUACUAUUAUAUAGCAUAUCUGUUUUGAAUAGGAGCUGGCCAUCAAUCCUAACCAUUUAUAUCCUAGAUCUAACUGUGAAAGUAGUGGGAUUCAUAGUGAACAGUGCAUGAUUACUGCAUCCACCGUGUUUUAGAUCGAACGGCCGAUCCUUCUCAAGAGACGUGCCCCAUAUUUGAUUCCUCUUGGGCCAGCGAUGUUGCAGCUUGAGGUCAACGUGUUGAGCCCAAAAGAGUUGGUUUCGGGGAAGUAGCAUAAAGUAAAAUUAAAUUCCAUUUUUUAAUUCUUUUCUUUAUUAAGAUUUCUUGCAGGAUUCUUUGUUAACAAAUUGUGGGGAUUGCAUAUAUUAUUUCCAAUUUUUUAUAAUAUAAUUUUUUUCUACAUCUAUGCAUCAAGAACUUUUUUCCUUUGAAUCUAUUAGCAAGUCUAUGUUUUUCUUACCAAAAUCACCCCACAAUGUUAAAACUUGCAUUGCAAGUCGUGUUUACAUACUAGUAAAACGUGUGAAUCAGUUAGAUGCCACAAUAAGAUACUCCCUCCGUCGAUGCAAGCUUUGACACUGAUCCGGUCGAUUCUAAAUCGCAAACCGGAUACGUGUUUAUAUUGAACGGUGGAGCUGUCAGUUGGUGCAGUUCUAAGCAAAGCGUCGUCGCGGGAUCUACAUGUGAAGCAGAGUACAUAGCUGCUUCGGAAGCAGUAAAUGAAAGAGUCUGGAUGAAGGAGUUCAUAUCCGAUCUAGGUGUCAUACCUAGUGCAUCGGGUCCAAUGAAAAUCUUUUGUGACAAUACUGGUGCAAUUGCUUUGGCAAAGAAAUCCAGAUUUCACAAGAGUACCAAGCACAUCAAGAGAUACUUCAACUCCAUCCGGGAUCAAGUCCAGGUGGGAGACAUAGAGAUUUGCAAAAUACAUACGGAUCCGAAUGUUACAGACCCGUUGACUAAGCCUCUUCCACGAGCAAAACAUGAUCAACACCAAGACUCCAUGGGUGUUAGAAUUAUUACUGUGUAAUCUAGAUUAUUGACUCUAGUGCAAGUGGGAGACUGAAGGAAAUAUGCCCUAGAGGCAAUAAUAAAGUUAUUAUUUAUUUCCUCAUAUCAUGAUAAAAUUUUAUUAUUCAUGCUAGAAUUGUAUUAACCGGAAACAUGAUACAUGUGUGAAUACAUAGACAAAUUGAGUGUCACUAGUAUGCCUCUACUUGACUAGCUCGUUAAUCAAAGAUGGUUAUGUUUCCUAGCCAUGGACAAAGAGUUGUUAUUUGAUUAACGGGAUCACAUCAUUAGGAGAAUGAUGUGAUUGACUUGACCCAUUCCAUUAGCUUAGCACUUGAUUGUUUAGUAUGUUGCUAUUGCUUUCUUCAUGACUUAUACAUGUUCUUAUGACUGAGAUUAUGCAACUCCCGUUUACUGGAGGAACACUUUGUGUGCUACCAAACGUCACAACGUAACUGGGUGAUUAUAAAGGUGCUCUACAGGUGUCUCCAAAGGUACUUGUUGGGUUCACGUAUUUCAAGAUUAGGAUUUGUCACUCCAAUUGUCGGAGAGGUAUCUUUGGGCCCACUCGGUAAUGCACAUCACUAUAAGCCUUGCAAGCAUUGCAAAUAAUGAGUUAGUUGCGGGAUGAUGUACGGAACGAGUAAAGAGACUUGCCGGUAACGAGAUUGAACUAGGUAUUGAGAUACCGACGAUCGAAUCUCGGGCAAGUAACAUACCGAUGACAAAGGGAACAACGUAUGUUGUUAUGCAGUUUGACCGAUAAAGAUCUUCAUAGAAUAUGUAGGAGCCAAUAUGAGCAUCCAGGUUCCGCUAUUGGUUAUUGACCGGAGACGUGUCUCGGUCAUGUCUACAUAGUUCUCGAACCCGUAGGGUCCGCACGCUUAAAGUUCGAUGACAAUUAUAUUAUGAGUUUAUGUGUUUUGAUGUACCGAAGGUAGUUCGGAGUCCCGGAUGUGAUCACGGACAUGACGAUGAGUCUCGAAAUGGCCGAGACGUAAAGAUCGAUAUAUUGGACGACUAUAUUUGGACACCGGAAUGGUUCCGGGUGAGAUCGGGAUAAUACCGGAGCACCGGGAGGUUAUCGGAACCCCCCGGGAGGUAUAUGGGCCUUAAUGGGCUUUAGUGGACAGGAGGGGAAAGGAGCAAGGGAGGGGGCGCCCCCCCCCCAAGCCCAAUCCGAAUUGGGAGGGGGGGCGGCCCCCCCUUUCCUUCCUCCUUCCUCUUCCUUCCCUCUCCCUCUCCAAGUAUGAAAAGGAGGAGUCCUACUCCCGGUGGGAGUAGGACUCCCCCCUUGGGCGCACCUCCUCCUCCUGGCCGCCCACUCCUCCCCUCCUUUAUAUACGGAGGAGGGGGGCACCCCAUAGACACAACAAUUGAUCCCUUGGAUCUCUUAGCCGUGCGGUGCCCCCCUCCACCAUAGUCCACCUCGAUAAUAUCGUAGCGGUGCUUAGGCGAAGCCCUGCGUCGGUAGAAUAUCAUCAUCAUCACCACACCAUCGUGCUGACAGAACUCUCCCUGAAAGCUCGACUGGAUCGGAGUUCGAGGGACGUCAUCGAGUUGAACGUGUGCUGAACUCGGAGGUGCCGUGCGUUCGGUACUUGAUCGGUAAGAUCGUGAAGACGUAUGACUACAUCAACCGCGUUGUGCUAACGCUUCCGCUUUCGGUCUACAAGGGUACGUGGACACACUCUCCCCUCUCGUUGCUAUGCAUCACCAUGAUCCUGUGUGUGUGGAUUUUUUUUUUGAAAUUACUACGUUCCCCAACAAUAACUACCAAAAAAUUCUAAUCUUGUGACAAAAAACUACCACUUUUGGAAAAUGGUCAAUUUAGAUGAUUUAAACACGUUUAUGACAUGCGGGACCCACCCAUUAGAGCUGAUGUGGCAGCAAAGUCAACUCUGUUUAUUUUGACCGUUAUGUUGACUGUUAUUACAAGUGGGGCCCACCUGUCAGCAUCAAUCUUUUUCUUCUUCCUACUCCCCUCUCUCUUUGGCAUUUCCUUGAACACCUCCUGUGCACCCGGGCUUGAGCUCCGAACUCCUCCAUGGCGACGCCCCGAUGCAGCACCUCCCUGGCGUAGGUUGGGGACUGGAACAACGGCGCAACCACGACGGCUGGAACUGUGGAAGCGGCCGACGAAGCUGAUGGAAUUUCCUCCGAGGCCGUCGGCACCACCACCCGCCGCAGCUCCUCGACAACGGCCUCCUUGAGGAUCUUGUGCUCGAGCAACUCGGUGUGCAGGCGGGACUCACGCUCCUGCAGCUCCUCAAGGAAGCGCGCGAGCUUGGCGCCGUCCGGCUCACCGACUGCACCUGCAUGGAGUACGAGAGGUGGGUGACGUAGAGCCCCAAGAGCUCAUGUGGGAGCUCGGACCAAGGCAAAGCCUUCUCCAGCUCCUCGACGAGGCGCACGAGUUCGGCGAUGUCCGACACCAUGGCCGUGCAGGCCGACUGCACCUGCAUGGAGGAGCGGGGGCAGGCAACGAAGAGCCCCAGGAGCUCAUGUGGGAGCUCGAACCAAGGCGAGUACUAGCUAGGUUGGUUCGUGCGUGUUGGUGGUGGUUGUCGUCGGCAGAGGUGACAUCACGGAGUGACGCGAGGGGGAGAGGUGGUCGCUGGAGUGGUUGGGCAGCUCGGGCUCCCCCGAUCCAGACAGGAUUGAGGCAUGGGGAGAGGUGAGUGCCGGUAGUGGAGGACGGCGGAGGUGGCUCGCGGGUGCACAAAAGAUGUUUGAGGAAAUGGCGGAGAGAGAGAGAGAGAGAGAGAGAGAGGAAGAAGAGUGAUGCUGACAGGUGGGCCCACUUGUAAUAACGGUCAAAAUAAAGGAGUUGACUUUUGCCGCCACGCUGACCCUGAUGGGUGGGUCCCGCAUGUCAUAAAUGUGUUUAAAUUGUCUAAACCGGUCAUUUUCCAAAAGUGGUAGUUUUUUGUCAUAAAAUUAGAAUUUUUUGAUAGUUAUCAGUCACUUUUUUGAAUGUGGUAGUUCAGUGGGACGGCAACCCCUAAUGUGGUAGUUUUUUUAUCAGAUACUCUAUGACAUGAGAAUUAACCACUAGUAAGAUGCAUGUAUGUAUGGUUUUCAUGGAUCAUCUAGAACGAUGUGAAAGGUGGCAUUAGAGACCGUGCCAUAGAGAAUCGUCAAAAUAAUUUUUCUUCGAUAUGACACUGAUUAUAAAUCAUUUAGUCAAAAAGAAAAAAGAAAGAAAAUGAAGCUAAUGCAUGUGAAAAAUAUGUGGAUCUGAUCAUGAUUGACGCAAUUAGGCAUGCAUGUAGAUAUAAAUAUACAUCUCAAGUUGGGGCAUCACGGGUCAGAGUUAAUACAACUUAAAUAGUAUAUUUUAUUAUUCGACAUGUCCUUUUAUAAAUAUGUGAAACAUUUAGAUACCGCAACAAAGAUACAAUGAUGGAUGACCUGCACACAAUCAGUUUAGGAUAGGAAACUAACAAAGCACGCGUGGAGGCAUUGAUAACUAAUACACGAACAAGAAACUCCGUGUACCGCACAUGUACAUAUGGCAUGCAAAAAUUUAGUAACGGAUACUAUGCUUGCACGCAAGGUUUUUCAUGAAUCAGCUAGAACAUCAAGGUUGGCCGCAUGCAUCGAUUCAUGCGGAGGCCGGAGGUCAACCUCCUUUUCAAAAAAAAAACUAGAACAUCAAGAUGUAAAAAGGUGGUAAUAAAGACAAGGAUAUCGAGAAUCUUCAAUGUAAACUUUUAGUUUUUAUCAAAGAUUUCGGUUGGUUGUGUAUACUUUACCUUUUCAAUGUGUCAUACUCUGAUUACGGAUCAUUUAGGCAAAAGGAACGAAGAUAGAGCUAAUGCAUGCGAAAAUAUGUGGAUCUCAUCAAGAUUGUUGCAACCAUGUGUGCCAGUACAUAUACAUAUACAAUUGAAGAUGACAUAUCACGGGUCAAGUUAAUACAAGUUGAACAAACUUUUUAUUCCACACAAGUAUACAAGUAUGUAUAUCUUUCUACAAAUAUGUGAGUCAUGCAUUUAGAUACCAUAAUUACUAGAUACAAUGAUCAAUCACAAGCUUAAGCUCACAACUAGCUGCCAUAUAUAUCACUGUCGAGUUAACACAACUUGAUUUUUUUUAAUUCCGUGCAUCUUUUUAUAGACAUGUGAAUCGUUUAGAUACCACAACAAGAUACAUGGAUGGGUGAAUUGUAGCAACCAACUUAAGCAUGCAUGCAUGCACAUAGGAGAUGUACAUGAAUUAAAAAUUAUGUGUACCGUACGUGUACAUAGCACAUGAAUUACUCAUGAGUACGAUGCCUGCAUGAAAGGUUCUUCAUGAAUCAGCUAACAAAUCAAGAUAAAAGGUGGCAUUAGAGACGAGACGACAACACAAAGAAUCGUCGCACUAGUAGAAAACAGGGCUACCGUUCGGCCCUGGCCAGCCCAUUAGUCCCUGUUCUUCAAGAAGCGGAACCAAUGGGAGGUAUUAGACCCGGUUCGUGAGCCCAGGGGGGCGGCCGGGGCCUUGUGGGCAUUGGUCCCGGUUCGUGUAGAACCAUUUGUCCCGGUUCGAGCCACGAACCGGGACCAAUGGUCCUCGCUGCUGGCCCACAACCAUUGAUCCCGGUUCGUGGCAUGAACCGGGACAGAAGGGGUGGCUUUAGUCCCGGUUCAUGCCACGAACCGGGACAAAUAACUUGCCUAUAUAUACCCACCGCCGCGGCAGAGCACUCCACAGUGCUCUGUUUUUUCAAUCCGGUGAGGAGAGGGCAUUUGGGUGCUCUAGUUCACCUCCUAUGCACAUGAGGUGUUCGAUGAAAUGCCCGAGCCACACUAGUUAAGCUUUCUCCUCUCGAAGCUCGACCUAGGAGCUCCAUUUUUUCUGAGAUUUGUCUAGAUUUAGGGGUCCGUCACGCCCCAUCCCCGUUUUCACCACCGUUGAUUGCCCGCGCCGAUCUCGUCGCCGGCACCACCGUGGUGAGCCUCUUGUUCUUAUCUUCUUUAUGAUACUUGUCUGAUUUUCUUACUUUAGAUAUAUAUUUGUCUAAUUUUCUUAAUUUUGACACACAUAAUUAUAUGUAAUGCACGUAGAUGAACCGACAAUGGAUGUAUGGUGACAGACACACCUCCGAGUACAUUAAGGGCGUGCAUAUUUUUGUCGAAGUGGUUGAGGCAAACAAGCAGAAUGGUUUUAUGUGUUGUACAUGCAGUAAAUGUGGGAAUAUGAAGUCUUACUCUGACCGGAAAAUCCUUCACACCCACCUGCUUUACAAGGGUUUCAUGCCACACUAUAAUGUUUGUACGAGGCACGAAGAAAUAGGGGUUAUGAUGGAAGACGACGAAGAAGAAGAGGACGAUGACAACUAUGUGCCCCCUGAAUACGGUGAUGCUGCAACGGGGGGAGAUGCUAAAGACCAAGAGGAACCAGACGAUGUGCCCGAUGAUGCUGCAACGGGGGAAGCUGCUAAAGAUCAAGAGAAACCAGACGAUGUGCCCGAUGAUGAUCUCCGCCGGGUGAUUGUCGAUGCAAGGACGCAAUGCGAAAGUCAAAAGGAGAAGCUGAAGUUCGAUCACAUGUUAGAGGAUCACAAAAAAAGUUGUACCCCAAUUGUGAAGAUGGAAACACAAAGCUGGGUACCGUACUAGAACUGCUGCAGUGGAAGGUAGAGAAUGCUGUGCCUGACAAAGGAUUUGAGAAGCUACUGAAAAUAUUGAAGAAGAAGCUUCCAAAGGAUAAUGAAUUGCCCGACAGUACGUACGCAACAAAGAAGGUCGUAUGCCCUCUAGGAUUGGAGGUGCAGAAUACACAUGCAUGCCCUAAUGACUGCAUCCUCUAUCGCAGUGCGUACGAGGAUUUGAACGCAUGCCCGGUAUGCGGUGCAUUGUGGUAUAAGAUCAGACGAGAUGACCCUAAUGAUGUUGACCGCGAGCCCCGCAGGAAGAGAGUUCCUGCGAAGAUGAUGUGGUAUGCUCCUAUAAUACCACGGUUGAAACGACUGUUCAGAAACAAAGAGCAUGCCAAGUUGAUGCGAUGGCACAGAGAGGACCAUAAGAAAGUCGGGAAGUUGAGAGCACCCGCUGACGGGUCGCAGUGGAGAAAAAUCGAGAGAGAGUACUGGGCUGAGUUUGCACGUGACCCAAGGAACGUAUGGUUUGGUUUAAGCGCGAAUGGCAUUAAUCCUUUCGGGGAGCAGAGCAGCAGUCACAGCACCUGGCCCGUGACUCUAUGUAUGUAUAACCUUCCUCCUUGGAUGUGCAUGAAGUGGAAGUUCAUUAUGAUGCCAGUUCUCAUCCAAGGCCCUAAGCAACCCGGCAACGACAUUGAUGUGUACCUAAGGCCAUUAGUUGAAUAACUUUUACAGCUAUGGAAUGGAAACUGUGUACGUGUGUGAGAUGAGCACAAAUAGGAGGAAUUUAACCUGCACGCGUUGCUGUUUGUAACCAUCAAUGAUUGGCCCGCUCUCAGUAACCUUUCAGGACAGACAAACAAGGGAUACCACGCAUGCACGCACUGUUUAUCUGACACCGAAAGUAUAUACCUGGGAAGCUGCAGGAAGAAUGUGUACCUGGGCCAUCGUCGAUUUCUUCUAACCAACCAUCAAUGUAAAGAAAGGCAAGCAUUUCAAAGGCGAGGCAGAUCACCGGAAGAAGCUCGCCAUGCGUACCGGUGAUCACGUACUUGCUAUGGUCAAUGAUUUACACGUAAUCUUUGGCAAGGGUCCCGGAGGACUAGCUGUUCUGAGUGACGCCGGGGGACACGCACCCAUAUGGAAGAAGAAAUCUAUAUUUUCGGACCUACCCUACUGGAAAGACCUAGAGGUCUGCUCUUCGAUCGACGUGAUGCACGUGACGAAGAACCUUUGCGUCAACCUGCUAGGCUUCCUGGGCGUGUAUGGGAAGACAAAAGAUACAACUAAGGCACGGGAGGACCUGCAACGUUUGCACGAAAAAGACGGCAUGCCUCCAAAUCAGUAUAAAGGUCCUGCCAGCUACGCUCUUACCAAAGAAGAGAAGGAAAUCUUCUUUGAAUGCCUGCUUAGUAUGAAGGUCCCGACUGGCUUCUCGUUUAAUAUAAAGCGAAUGAUAAAUAUGGCAGAGAAAAAGUUUCAGAACCUAAAGUCUCAUGACUGCCACGUGAUUAUGACGCAACUGCUUCCGGUUGCAUUGAGGGGGCUUCUACCGAAAAACGUCCGAUUAGCCAUUGUGAAGCUAUGUGCAUUCCUCAAUGUAAUCUCUCAGAAGGUGAUCGAUCCAGAAAUCAUACCAAGGCUAAGGAGUGAUGUGGUGCAAUGUCUUGUCAGUUUCGAGCUGGUGUUCCCACCAUCCUUCUUCAAUAUCAUGACGCACGUCCUAGUUUAUCUAGUUGACAAAAUUGUCAUUCUGGGUCCCGUAUUUGUACACAAUAUGUAUCACUUUGAGAGGUUCAUGGGAGUCCUAAAGAAAUAUGGCCGUAACCGCGCUAGGCCAGAAGGAAGCAUCUCCAUGGGCCAUCAAACAGAGGAUGUCAUUGGGUUUUGUGUUGACUUCAUUCCUGACCUUAAGAAGAUAGGUCUCCCUAAAUCGCGGUAUGAGGGGAGACUGACUGGAAAAGGCAUGCUUAGAGGGGACACAGUAAUAUGAAGGGACGGAUAUUCUUGGGCUCAAGCACACUGCACAGUUCUACAUAACUCUACCUUGGUGACCCCUUAUGUCGAUGAACACAAGAACAGUCUGCGCUCCAAACACCCGGAGCAGUGCGACGACUGUAUUACAUGCGAACACAUCAGGACUUUCAGCAGUUGGUUGGAAACACGUCUCAGAGAUGAAAACACUGUUUGUGAUGAGUUGUACUCGUUGUCCAGGGGACCAUCUUCGACUGUUACGAUUUGGAAAGGAUACGAGAUAAAUGAGAAUACAUUUUACACGAUCGCCAAGAUCAAAAGAGCACCAACAAAAAGAGCGAUGUCCGCUUUAAUGCAGCCACCGAGACGGGAAAGGGCACAUAUUAUGGUUACAUAGUGGACAUAUGGGAACUUGACUACGGAGUAGAUUUUAAGGUCCCUUUGUUUAAGUGCAAAUGGGUUAAUCUGUUAGGAGGCGGGGUACAGGUAGACCCACUGUACGUAAUGAGAACACUGGAUCUGAAAAAUCUUGGGUACACUGACGAACCGUUCGUCCUAGCCAAUGAUGUGGCACAAGUUAUCUAUGUGAAGGACAUGUCUACCAGACCGAGAAAAAGAAAAAAUAAGGAAGCGAAUACAUCAUAUGAUGAGCCAAAGCGCCACAUAGUUCUUUCAGGAAAAAGGGACAUCGUGAGAGUGGAGGGCAAGACAGACAUGUCCGAAGAUUAUGAAAAGUUUCAUGAAAUUCCUCCCUUCAAAGUCAAGGCUGACCCAAUCAUCCUGAUAAAUGAUGAAGAUUAUCCAUGGUUACGACGCAAUAAGGAAAGGACACAAGCGAAGAAAAAAUGAAGACUUUCUCCACAACUAUUAUGAUGAUACCAUGCCAACUUUCAACCUUUUUGUAGUUCAUUUGAAAUGCAUGUUAUAACAGACAAGUUUCCGUAUGAAAUCUUGAUACUUCAAAAGAGAUUAUCCGUUUUGUACACGAAGCGCAUCCAGGUUUUGCCGUAACCCUCUUGCAUAUGCUAUGUGGAUGAAAUGAUGAUACCAUGCCAAAAUAAAAGAGAGGCGCAAUGCUCACCUCCAUGUUGCUUAGCUUCAGGCCAACGUGCAGGUGAGCACUGCGCUUCUCCCUUCAUCGUCUCUACACUCAGGGCUUAUAAACCGCUGCGAGUGCCUCUCGCUUGGUGAGGUGGGACUAAAAAACAGCUACAGAAAGAAUCAACUAAAAAACUCUUUUACCGGUUCAUACCACGAACCGGUACUAAAAGGUGCUCGUGGGGCCCCAGCCUUAAAACCUGUACCAAAUAAAAUGCCUUUGUAACAGCCUUAGAACUGGUACUAAAGGAAUCAACUAAAAAGCUUUUAUAAACCUCUAGUAUUAUUGAAACUAAAAUUAUAUAGAAUUUUGUUACAAACUUUAAUAGCAAAAAGAAUUAUCAUAAAAGAAAAUAAAUAAGUAAUUAGAAUUUUGUUCAAAACAUUAAAAGAAAAAAGAAUUAUCAUAAAAGAAAAUAAAUAAGUAAUUAGAAUUUUGUUACAAACUUUAAUAGCAAAAAGAGUUAUCGUAAAAGAAAAUAAAUAAGUAAUUAGAAACAAAAAAGAAAGCAAAAAAACUGGGAAAAAAAUUAAAAAAAAGUGCCACCUACAGGGCCACCAUGGCCUGCAUACGACUGGAAACCCAUUACUAGGGCCAGGAUGCAGGCCCGUAGUAGGCCCAAGAGACCCACAAGCAGAGAGAGUGAUUUUAGGCCCGUAAGCCUGCAGUAGAGAAGAGCUCAAAGUGGUAGGUUCGACAAGACUUAUAAACCACUUUACGCCCCUCUCGGCUAGCGAGGUGGGACUAAACAUAGCACCGCACCGUGCCAGCACACGACCUUUGGUCCCGGUUGGUGCCACCAACCAGGACUAAAGGGGUGCAUUGGUACCGGUUGGUGGCACCAACCGGGACCAAUGCCUCUCUUUUGUCCCGGUUUGUGGCACCAACCGGGACCAAAGGUCUCUGUUUCCCAUCCUUUGGACUGCUGAAAAGAGGCCUUUGGUCCCGGUUGGUGCCACCAACCGGGACUAAAGGGGUGCAUUGGUCCCGGUUGGUGCCAUGAACCGGGACCAAUGCUCUNNNNNNNNNNNNNNNNNNNNNNNNNNNNNNNNNNNNNNNNNNNNNNNNNNNNNNNNNNNNNNNNNNNNNNNNNNNNNNNNNNNNNNNNNNNNNNNNNNNNNNNNNNNNNNNNNNNNNNNNNNNNNNNNNNNNNNNNNNNNNNNNNNNNNNNNNNNNNNNNNNNNNNNNNNNNNNNNNNNNNNNNNNNNNNNNNNNNNNNNNNNNNNNNNNNNNNNNNNNNNNNNNNNNNNNNNNNNNNNNNNNNNNNNNNNNNNNNNNNNNNNNNNNNNNNNNNNNNNNNNNNNNNNNNNNNNNNNNNNNNNNNNNNNNNNNNNNNNNNNNNNNNNNNNNNNNNNNNNNNNNNNNNNNNNNNNNNNNNNNNNNNNNNNNNNNNNNNNNNNNNNNNNNNNNNNNNNNNNNNNNNNUAGAUGUGUAGUAAUUUAGAUGUGUAGUUCAUAGAUUUUUCUGUUAGAUUUUUUUUCAUAUUGUGUAAUUAAUUUGUUCAUAUUGCAUUAGAUUUUUUUAUGAUAUUAUUGUUGAAUAUGCAUGUUUAUAUGUUCAUAUAUAUGCAAAGAUCGAAUAUGGCAAAUUUUUAUGAUUUUUUCCUGUUCAUAGAAUUUUUAUGAUUUUUUUCUAUUGUAAUUUUGUUCAUAGAAUUUUAUUAAUUUUUUUGUUCAUAGUAUUUUCUUGGUCAAUUUAUAUAUAUGUUCAUAUUGUUUAUGUAUAGGAAAACUGUGCAUGAUCAAAGUCAUUUAUGAAUAUGUUCAUAUGUAGAAUAGAGGAAAAAGGAAAAAAUAAGAAGAGAAAGUGUUUAAUAUAAUUAGUUAGAAAAAUAAUAGAAUUAUAGUUAAACUAGUUUAUUUUUAGUAAGUACUACUUUAUUUUAUUUAUAGUAAGUGCUUCAUAUAUAGUUGAACUAGCUAGUUGAUUUAAUAAACUACUUUAUUUUACUAUAUAUAGAAGUAGUUUGUUUUUAGUAAGUACUACUUUAUUUAUUUAUAGUAAGUGCUUAGUAGUUGAACUAGUUGAUUUAAUUAAUAAAACUAUUUUAUUUAACUAUAUAUAGAAGUAGUUCCCGCAUCGACGUCGACGAUGCCUAUCCCGCAUCCUCGUCGUCGUCGACUCGGCGGUCGAGGCCUGCUUGAUCAGGGCCAUGUUCGGGACUGGGCUCUGCCGGGCUGGUAUUGGGAGGUGCUACCUUCCGGAGGACGUAGGUUGGUGAGGAGGCAGCUCGUUGUUGACCCGAUCCUUGUUUGGUGGCGGUCGCGUGGGCCAGUGACGGUGCCGAGGCUUUUGGACACCACGGAGGUGGUGUGUCACCGUGUCAGCGAGGAGGACGAGCACGUCCGUCGCUACAUGGUUGCAUUGGAGGGCAGGUAUGACAAUACCUGGCAAGUUCUUCAGGGAUCUCACUGGAGCUAUGAUCCUGUGAUAGUUCCUUAUCUUUGGGUGUCCACUGCCCGCGACGAUACCCGUCGGGCGCUACGGUUCUAGCUGUAUUAGCGAUGCUAUAUGUAUGAUGUUAUUCAAGGAGUAUUAGUGAUAAUAUUCGAUGACGUACGGACACAAGAGAUGAUAUAGUUUUGGUUACAAUUGAAUGCAUGCUAAUUUGAAUACUACUUUAUUUUACGAUUUGGUUUUGCUUAUUGAAUGCUCAUAUUGGAAAAGUACUCUUACUUUGAAUGCUAAAAUUGAAGAGCACUCUAUGCAGAAAUCUAGGAGCCCCUUCCAUCAUCCACGCCGUCGUGGGGGUAGCUUCUCCUUCAUUCCCGUGUGCUAGACAAUUUGGUGUAAUAAUACACUCAGGAAUGAAAGAGGAGCUACGUAGCAUCACCGAUAGUCAUCCCGUGAUUAAUAAUAAUGAUCUAAUUUAGGUUUUUUAGUACAUAUAUUUAAUUGUACAAGUUUAAUAUUUGAAUUAUGAACAUAGGCCGGAAAUGUUGUACUCGGACGACGAAAACCGCCCGGGGGAGUGCGACUGGUGCCACGAUGACCGAGGUAUGUGCGACAGGUUCAUUGAGCUCGACGAAGAUCGGCGCUUCAGCAUUAAGCUCGAGGAGACCUUCGAUGUUCAUACAGUACACAACGGCGACAAUAGUUUUUUUCGUAAUUAAGCACGACUUCAACUAUUUUAACAUGUAUUUUUCAUCUUUUUCAAUUCAACUAGCUUAUCCCAUGCUAUGCAAGACGCUAUGUCUUGGAGAGGAUGGGUUUUGAAGACUAUGAAAGUAUGGAAACCAAAAAAAUUCUCCUAAGGACCCAUCAUGGUGUGGAUUUUAAAGUAAAGCUGUACAAUGCUGAGAGUGUAACCCAUUUUGGUUGCAAAAAUUGGGAAGCACUUUGCAAGAUGUAUGGUUUUGAUGAGGGUAUGCUUGUCACCAUGGAUCUUGGUGAUCCUACAAUCGAUCAAGACAAUAUGGACAUUGGGUCCUUGUGGAUACACCUCCAAUUCUUCCCCCAUGUGAGCUUAAUAUAGUUAUUAUGUAAUUUAUAUUGUUUAUUUCAAAAUAGUUGACAGCUUAUUUCCAUUGACAACUUAUUUUCAUUCUUCAAAGAAUGUGCGGAAGAUGAUAGACAAAACACACUACACCGAUGGCUCCGAAUUAACUUAUAAGAAGAAAAAUCAUCUGAUUGCAUUUUGUACUGAUCUUGAGAAUUACAAUGUCUACAAUCGAACUUCUCAACAUUAUGGUCAAUACGUGCCACUAGUGCACGUGUUAAACUACGGUAACUACCAUGGAGAUACUCUGGUAAGAUUUUUUACUAUUACGACAUCCGUGCAUCUUUUUGCAUACUUCUAAAACUAGUACAUCAUUGCUAACUACAAAGUUAUUACUAUGUUUUUCAACAGAUAAUCCCGAAUGAUUGUGUUCCUCAUUUGAUGGAUACGCACGGUCGACGUGAUGUUUUGAACAUACAACCAGACCGUCCUACGAAUCUCAACUGUCCAUACCGGAUUUCUAAAUGAAGUGGAGACAUGACAAUCAAAGAAUGGAAAAAAUGUAUGGACAAUCGUAAGGAGCUUCUUGGAAGCAAAAGGAAGCGAAGCGCAAGAAUUGGAGACUGGAUGAUCUCCAUUCUUCAUAAUGGAGAGUCAGGGUCUAUAUUAUUUUAUGCUAUUUUAUCUUAAUUAAGUGUGUUUAGGUCUACCUGAUACUGAUGAUGUGCUAAGAACAAUUAUGUAGGGUUGGGUUCGAUGACUAUAAAUAUGAUGAUCGUAUGACUUGUUAUUAAUAACGAGUAGAAGUUGUAUGAUGAUGCAUGAUUAGCAGGACUUGUUAUUAUAUAUGAUGAUAUAUGAUGCAAGCAUGAAGAGUUAUUAUAUAUCAGCGGGUGAAAUGAACAUAGCAGUAGCGUUGGUAAACCAAGUACGAAGAUAAGAGAGGACACUUCUCUAUAUUAGCUAGCUAAUAACAACCUAAAUAACUCCCAAAACCCCUAAACCAGCCACUUUUAAAAAAGCCACCUCAGCUGCAGCCAGCUUCUGACGCGUGGAUGCUUUUUGGUCCCGGUUUAUGUCACCAACCGAGACCAAAUGCCCCCCUGUCUGGGCUGCCCGCAGCGGCCACGUGGAUGCCCAUCUGUCCCGUUUCGUGUAAGAACCGGGACUAAAGGGUGGGGGGGCAUUAGUAACGACCUAUUAGUCCCGGUUCAAGAAAUGGAACUAAAGGCCCUUACGAAUCGGGACAAAUGCCCUGUUUUCUACUAGUGUCAAUGUAACUUCUACUUUUAUCAAAGAUUUUGGUUGUUCCUGUUUUUUCAUCUUAUAUAAUCUGAUUACAGAUAAUUUUAGGCAAAAAAUAAAGAAAGAAGAUUUAGCUAAUGCAUUCGAAAAGAUAUGGAUUUGAUCAUGAUUGAUGCAACCAUGCGUGCAUGUACGAUAAAUAUGCAUUUCAAGCUUGGCAUAUCACGGGUCAAGUUAACCCUUUUCUUUUGCGGGUGAAGUUAACACAAUUUGGACAAACCUUCUAUUCCUCAUACACAUACAAUCCUUUUACAAAUACAUGAAUCAUGCAUUUAGAUACCAUAACGAGAUACGCUGAUCAUGUGAUCAAUCACAAACUUAUCAAGCAUGCAUGCACGAGCGAGGGAGCCCAUGCAAACACCUAACAUAUAGUACCGGAACUGGAACAUAGAAAAUAUACGUAUGGUGCGUACGUAUGAAAUGCAAACUAGUUACAAAUAAAAAAAAUGCAUGUAUAAUAUUCAUCGAUGGUGUUGGAUGGAUCAGAUGGGGCAGGUGAAGUCGGAGGGGCACUUCUUGCCGCACUGGUUGAGGAGGAGGGUCAGGUCGAUGGGCACAUUGAGCUUGAUGCCGAGAAUGUUGGCCCUGAUGGCGGUGCAGAGGCACACGGCGGCGUCGAGGUCGGCGAGCCCGCCCAGAAGCGGGCAGCACUCCUCGUUCGCUGGCACGCCGAUCUUGAGCUUCAGCAGGUUCAGCACGUUGGCGCACACGCCCAGCUUCAGCGUGUUGAUCGAGCAGCGGCCCCCGCCGGUCGACGGCACGGGCGGUGGGAGGAUGGGCGGGGUAGGGACGACCGGUGGGCAGUAGGGUCCGCAGCCCUGGGCGGCCGCAAGGAGGACCAGGUUCAGGGCGAGGAAGACGGCGAGCUUGGAGGGCGCCAUUGCUACUGAUCGAUCUUACUGGUCUGUGGCUAUGGCUAAGCUUGGCUUUGCUAGCUUGGGAUGGUUUGCUUGGGUCGUCUGAGGUCGUAUUUAUAGGCCGGUCGUAGCGUGCAAUUGCAUGCAUGUCAUUAUCAGUCGAGCUAAUUAGUUUUGACUCUUGCCGUACUAAUUUGCAAAAUUUAUGCGCAACCAUUAUUGUACUGGCAUGUUACGUGUGUAACAUCCAUCAUUGGAGCUUAAUCUGUUCGCUAAUGAACAAAAACCUGAGAGCUGGGCCAUGAGGCUUUCCUUUAGUUUCCAAGAAGAGUACUCUUAUAUGCAUGUUGUCUGCUCUGGGCAUAUAUAUAUUUGAUGGUUUUACAAGUGUAGCCAUAAUAAUCUGGAGCAUAUAUAGCAUCAGACAAAGGAUUAUAUCUGGCAUGACAGCGCUACGAGCUGGCUUAACCAUGAUCAUCAGGGUCACGGGAGACACAUAUAGGAGUUGUAUGGUUUUGAUUCCACGUGUCUAUUAUAUCUUUCGUACUCUGGUUUGUCAUAAUGGCUCGUUGGCACGGAUGGACACCAUACGUUCAGCUUGCUGUAAUCUAUCUAUCUAUCUAUCUAUCUAUCUAUAUAUAUAUCUAUAUACCUAUCUAUCUAUAUCUAUCUAUAUAUAUAUACCUAUACUAAUUCUAGACUCUCAAGAAAUUCUCACGUUAAUUAGAAAUUAGGAGCCAUUAAUCUGAUGGGUCCAAAUUAUUACGGUCUAGAUCAAUCCUAGAAAUCGAUGAAUGAAUACUUUUUUUACUAGGCUCCGGAUUGAUCCA
rnacentral:lncRNA from 1 species